UAAUUACUUGGUUAUAUGGUUUGUAUUGUGUGGUGGCGUUGGAUAAUGUUCCAGGAUAUCUUGCUGAGCAACAUCAUUCAGAUGGAUAUAUAUUGGACAAGCUGCGUUAGGGCUGUGUACAUAAGAGGCAUACUGUAUUAUUAUUGGAGCUGGGACAAAAGCACAUUUCAAAAGUUUGGUCGUAUUUGGUAACCUGUUUUUGAAUUUCCAGUUUCUUUUAGGGAAGCAGCCUAUUGGGCACCAGUAUCCUAAGGAUAAAAUUGCACCACCCUGCAUGGCACGCAACUCAAGCACAACAUCUACCCCGAGAGUUCAAAUGAAACUGCUGUACCAGCAAACCAAGGACUGACACUAAAGAGAAAACCCUCCUUCACCUGAUAACGGAAUUUGAGUCUCACUAAGUUUCAUUGUCAUGUCUCAUGUGCCUCAUGCCAUACAGUGAUGAGCAUAGUUGAAGGUAAUGUUCGCCAAAUCUCAAGAGAUCCUCCAUGGUUGAAAUCAAGUGGCACAUAAGGAUUUUAAAGACACAAAAGCAAGCCCAAUGUCCUCGCCUGACGACAUGUUUUUUAAUGGCACAGUUGCAUUGAAAUUCAUCAGCAUAGAUCACUAAACUAGUGAGAAAUCUCAAUACAUCAUCUCUAUUACAAAAUGGAAGUACAUUUGAUGGACGGUUUUACAGACACAAAUGCAUGACAACAUAGCAAUGGACCUCACUGAAAAUGAGCAGUAUACUGGUAUUUGGAAUGAUUCUCCAGUUGUGCUGCCUAGGUCGUGAGUACACAGAACUGAGCAGGGCUUCAGUUUCUAAAUAAUCUGCUAGCAGACUUGCUAAUGGAAAAGCAUCUCCUGGUCAAAAUUAAAAAACUGCAUUUUAAACAAAAAUAAUUAAACAGCAAUGCGGUAUUGGUGCUCAGAUUCUAUGGGAGUCAUUCACAAAGAUAUCACUGCUGCCCAAUCACAUCUAACUAGAUUGUUCCAUAAAAAUCAUAACGCAACUCUCAGUGAAAACAAAGAAGAAAUAACAUAAUAAUACGCAUUGAAACAAGAAAUAGUGUCCAUUGAUGCUCAGAUUCUAUGGGUGUAUAGAUGUCGUUCACAGGGAUUUCCCGUCAGUACGAGGAAUGUUUUAUAAUCACUGCACCAAAGAAGGAUCAAUUGACUCAUCAACAACAACAAAACAGAGUUUAAACUGCAAUUUGGGGGCGAGCGUAACCCAAGAUCCAUCUGGACGGAUUUGUGCUUUAAAAGCCACCUGAACUACAUCUCAGGAGCGUUGUUAACUCAGAUGCUACAACAGCAGCCGAACAUUCAAACAGUGCUCCCCACAUUACAUGAUGAAACAUCGAGCAGAAGACAACAAAGUAUGAGGAUAUUCAUAUGGCUCAGACAUCCAAGGAAGGAAUUAGCAGCAUUAGCUCUCAAGCCUGGCUGGGCGAAAGAUCUUAGGCGGCAUCUGCGAAUGUUUUGAGAAACAAGCCUUAAAUUUAUCAUCAUCGCCAGAACAUAUCCUCAAAAGUGAUCAAAUCGACAAAUAACUUGUGAGCCAAUACAAAAAUAUUUUAACCACAAUAGCUAUACCAACCAAAAUAAAACUAAGGUUCAACACACAAACAACAGAGCAAACAAUAUGAGAGAAUCCCUCAGAGACCCAUUUAAAAUCAUGCACACAGCUGAACCAAACCAGGUGCAAAUGGAGAUUCCAGCCCUGACCAAACCACAAAGGUAAUAGCCAUGGAGGACAUGUGCAGUGGUGAGAAACAGCUGCUGUUUACAGUGUCAUACGGCACUUCCUGGUCUAAGAAUCAUCACCGGGAAAAUUUAAGUUAACAAAAUUAACUAUAUAAUUAAAAAAGAAAAUCAUACGCUACUGGUUUUGUGCCUCAGAAAGCCGCAAAAAUAUCGUCAUUCAAAAUCAGACGGUAAUUCCAACAUAAAGCUAAUCAUCAUAGGCUUCAUUUACUUUGCAGGUCUCUAGUGUAAUCAUAAUCGCUGUCCAGCUGACAAAAAACUAAAACAAUGACUAAGAUAACAUGGUGUAUCAUCAGAAUAUAAAAGCCUUCUCAUCCACAGGAAAAUAGGCACUGUGUCAGAAGGCGUCCUAAGAUUGAAUAAGGUUUCAUCACUUGAUACAGACGAAAUCUAGAAGAAAAUAAAAACUAGAAACUGAUCUAUAUAAUGGAUUCAGUUGCAAAGAUGACAUCACAUAGGCAGCUAAUGCAACCCCUCGGAUCAAGUGUUGGAUUAUGCAUCAAUACCUCCUCACAAUCCAAACAGAUCAUCGACAAAAAUAACAGCAAAAAUGAUUGAAAAUAUAGCUGCUCAGUGGUGGCAAUGUUUAAUUGGUUCGAUUCUGCCAGCAAUGUCGUCAAUGCUUUCAGAAGAGGGAGCUUGAUAUCCUCAUUGCAACUACACUCUCCAAACGAAACACACGCAUCAAACAAAAAAUAGGAAUAAGAACAAUGAACGGCAGAUUCAAAAUAAAGGGUAUGAGAUGGCUCGGUUCAGCGGGAUAAUCGGCAUACAAAUCAACUCCUGAGAGAAGACCUGUAAUUUGGUCUGUUGAGCUUGAAUAUUUGCAAAUCGUCACUGCCAUCACCCAAGAAUAUUGAGUAGAAAGGAAAAUCAAACCAACUAUCUAAAUUUUAAUUUGCUGAGUCAGAUUUAAUAGUAUGUCAAUCAGCACAGAUCCACCUAAGCGGAACCUAAGACUGGGGCGACAAAUUUGAAAUCAUCAUCCUCAUAACUACAAAGAUCUGCUGACUAUGUUCCUUCUGUACCGUACAAGAUUAUUUCAGUCUAAAUGAAUUUCAAUUGAUAAUAUGUAAAAUGAAGACUCAGAAUAUGGGUGGUGAUAUAGCAGGAUGGUCGGCAAGGCAAAUAAAUGCCAGUUACGACGAACGAGACCAAAUACCAAUCUUCACCGUCCUCUACAACAAAUUCAGACAUGACGUUGAAAAAUAAUUAACAAGCAAACUAACACACGAAAUGUUGAUUCUCAAGAAAAAGCUUAAGGGUUCUAAGGUCAUCAGAUAGGAGCGAAAGACUAAUUUUGUUCAAGUAAUCACGAUUUGAUCAUAUGAACUAUGCACUUGUGAUCAUCAUCCGACCUUAGCAAACCAAUAAUUCAAGAGAAAAAACAAAACGCCAAGAAAAGGACAGAAGGAUUAAAGGGAUCGUGAUGCCUCAGAAGGAAGGCAGUAGGUUAUGUAAUCACUAGUGAUUCAUUGAGAAAGGUUCACACUAAUCAUCAUCAGCACCACGAAACCACAAAUAAUCGAAAAUUAAAAAAUGAGCAGGAUCAUUGGCCUCAUAGAGAAGAUUAGAUCGUUCCACAUGAAGAAAAUUCGGACAUAUGCUUGUCUAUAAAUUUAUUUUAAUCCUCGGCCAGCGAUAAACAAGGAAAAAACAAGAACAAAUCAGCAGAAGAGUGUUACUCGGGGUGAGGUAAUUCUAAUCAAGAAGAGGACUCGGAAUAUGGGUGGUGAUAUAGCAGGAUGGUCGGCAAGGCAAGAAGAUGCCAGUUACGACGAACGAGACCAAAUAUCAAUCGUCACCGUCCUCGAGCCAGAUGCAAAAAUCACCACGGGAAGAACAAGAACCGAAAACGGGUUGCAGAACAAGAAGGCAGGUCGAGAUCUGAUGGGUCAGAGGGAGAGGAGGGGGGAAGAACCUGUUUGCUGGGGUGGAUGGGAGGUGGCGGCGUGGGGAAGAAGGGCAUCUUCGCCGCUGCUUAUAUAGAAGGGUUCUGGGGCGUUAGGGUUUGGCAGGGGCGCCGGGCCGACUUGUGCCGUUGGAUUGAUCUGCUCGGGCCGUAGCCCCAGAACUAACGGGCCUGACGAACCCAUCCAUCCAAUCCGCUAGUUCCCGCCUGACUGUUUCUUUCUUUUCUUAAAAAAAACUGACUGUUUCUUUUUUCUUCUCAAAUAUAGAGAAAACUUCUAUUUUCCAAUAUUUGCCUGGGCGCAAGUUCACUAGGAAAUGAAAAUAUUAGUCAGGGAAAGAGAAGUUAAAGUACCAGGUAGAAAGGUAAAAUUGUAUAUGGCCUUUAGAUUUUUCACUCAUCAUCUGUGGUCGGUGUCACAAUGGAAUUACGACGAAGAUUACUAGGCGUGCAGAAAAACGUCCAUGUGAUCACGAGCACUGAUGAUACAAUAGUAAGAGGGCGAAAUAAUGCUGCGGUUUUUUCAAACAAAUCGUUGUGAGAAGGUAAAUUAGGCCAAGAAUCUGUGGAAGGACACCUCAGACAGUAAGGCAUCCCAAUAAGACUUUUUGUUCUCGCAAAAAAAGUGACACAUUUGUUAAAGUUGAAGGCUAAGUGAUACUACAAACAGCCAUAAGUAAUAAACAAUUACACAGCCGUAAAAACUAAUGCAAGGACAACUACGUAGAAUAUAGGGUGGUACGAGAAAGUACAUGCCAAUUGUACAUAUUACAUCGGAUAAGAACCAUGUGUGAGCAGUGGCGUAGCCAGGAUUUUGGAUUAGGGUGGUCCAAUUGAUAUAAAAAGUGUUUACAACACAAAUACAACAUACAAUAUACUAAUAGAGGCUGGGCUAUUUAGCUAAGGAGACANNNNNNNNNNNNNNNNNNNNNNNNNNNNNNNNNNNNNNNNNNNNNNNNNNNNNNNNNNNNNNNNNNNNNNNNNNNNNNNNNNNNNNNNNNNNNNNNNNNNNNNNNNNNNNNNNNNNNNNNNNNNNNNNNNNNNNNNNNNNNNNNNNNNNNNNNNNNNNNNNNNNNNNNNNNNNNNNNNNNNNNNNNNNNNNNNNNNNNNNNNNNNNNNNNNNNNNNNNNNNNNNNNNNNNNNNNNNNNNNNNNNNNNNNNNNNNNNNNNNNNNNNNNNNNNNNNNNNNNNNNAACACUACAUACUAGUAUAGUAUGAUUUAUUAAAAGAACGCAUUGAUAAGUUUUAUUCUACAACUCAUACUGUGUCUUCGCCUCUCCCCUGACAGAUUUUGCUUAGCUUCGUUACCGAGCACUAGUAUAUAAUUUAUGAAAAGAUCAUAUCAAUAUGAUUGAUUUUGCAACAAUUAUAUGACACAUCUAAUGUACACCAUGACCCGAGUUUCCAUCACCUAACCUCCUACUAUAGACAAACCGACAAUUUAGUUUUAUCACUUUACGUUUACGUUAUUUACUUCCUACGCUCAUUACUAUGUUUCAACCUCUAGUUACUUGUUUUCCAAUAUGAGACUAAUCUUUGCAUAUACCAAAACAGUUAAUUCACACCAGACCUGUAGCCACUUGCGUGUGACAGAAACACCCACAUUACCACUCGCAUCCGCUCUUCUUUUUGCAACAAUUCUAGAAAAGUUGAUUAUUAACUGUCAGUUGGAACAAAUACCUAAUGAUUCGAUUAGUUCAUUUUACCAAUUAUCGAUUGAAAAAAACUUUCAAGCUUGCACUUUCAACUUGUUCAAAUCUUCAUAGCAAAAGCAAAUUAUACUUUCAGUUAAAGGAGAACAAAAAUCUUACUUUAGAUUGAAGUAGAAUAGAAAACAAGUAGUGCUCAGCCUAAUAAGGAUGUGCGUGUGCGUUCAUGCGCCCUUUGCUAGUCGCUUAUGACCCGUCCGCCGCUGCCACCCACCAGCACGAGCGCCCUUCGCCGGUCGCCUAUCUGUUGCCGUCGGCGGGUCCCCUAUCAGCCUCGUGUUGUUGGCUGAUGGGGCUCGCUAAACGCUAGGGUUCGAGAGGAGAGGAAGUCUGAAAACAAGGAACAUCUUUUGGACUAGACUCGACCGAAAAACGAGCAUCGGCUGACUAGCAUACAAUAGUACAGAGCAGACUUAACCAAACAACUUAAUCUAUUUGCUUGUAUAUGGACUGAGAAGCUGACUUGAGUCCGAUUAUAUUUUUUAUGGAGUAGUAUAUACUACACUAAUGGACUCAAUUCCAGGAUGGUCCAUGGACCACCCUUGCCAUCCUACAACUACGCUACUGUGUGUGAGUCACCUACUUCUACUUAAUUACAUGUCAUCCUGAUCCUCAUGCACGAUAAAUCGGUCAAUACAUUGGGUCCAUGAUUUUGUUCGGCGCAAUCGUGUGGUAUGUGUUACAAGUUUUUUUUGUUAUAAGUGAACAAGUAUGCAAGUAGUUUUCCCCAGACUCUGCUCCCUCCCGUGUGCUUCUAAAGCAAAAUAUCAAAUAAGAUACCGAGGGGAGAGAUUAAGAGGGGGUGGUCGAGUCCUUUGUGGUGUGUGCCUCCGGGUGUGUAUCAAUGCAAGUGCAAUUGGAUUCACCUACUUUUUCUGAAGUUUCAAUGUAAAUAGUGGUUGAUAUCAAUAAAGCUACCAGCGUUGGCCUUCCCCGAAGCAAAAGACUAGUAUAGACGUCCUUGGUCGAUGAUAGACAAUGAAAGUCAGGGGGUGUUUGUUUCCAGGGACUUUUUGUUGUAGGGACUAGAAAAAGUCCCUAGCAAACCAAACAGGGUGGGACUUUUUCGGGACUUUUUGCUAAAAGUCCUUAGAAGCACCUCCUUGAGAGUCUUUUUUAAAAAGUUUCAGGGACUCGAAAAAGUCCUAGGACUAGAGAAACAAACACCACCUCAGUGUGUUCUUUAACAUUUAAGAGGAGCUUACCUUUUCUUUGGAAACUUCAUGUAUGGUAACUUGUACAGGAUUGUAAGAAUUCAUUUUUUUGGUAAUCCACGCAUACACCACUCCAUGAAAAAACUAAGUUAAGGGCUACACGAAUAAUUUUGGAACAACGAGUAAAGUCGCACCUACUAGUCACAUUUGUAUUUUUUUCUGAACAGAAGGAUUUCAUUAGUAUAGCAUUAAGCACACUUUACAAAUAGCAGCUCGAGUGGCUGAGCACUCAUUGCUGAUAGCUCAUUACAGGUAGGACAUCCUUCCAAAUUAGUACCUAAACCUUGAUCUGAAUGUAGGCAAGUAGAGCUAAAAGGUUUAUCUUGCACUUUGACAGCAAGUCUAGCCUGAUGGUGUGCCUUGAAAUUCAGACUUCUGUGCACUUUGAGUAUUCUAUAUGGAUGAAAUGAAGGCGUGGUCUGGAUAGCAGCUAAGAUUGGCCGGAUAGCCCACGGACCUGCUUUAGUAAUAUCAGGUUGUACAACCGCUGAGGCAAGCACUUCAGAGUCUGUCAAAAACUUCGGAUCCUGCACAUGUAGUUGAGCUGCAAUCUUCACCGCCAACAACAGUCCAUAAGCUUCUGCCUGCAAAGCUGAUGCUACUGGUGGCGACACAGCAGAGAUGUAUAGAUGGUCGGUAUGUUGCCCGUUAAUUUGUAGAAAAACACCUAUACCCGCCUUUGCUACAGCUUGUCCUGGCUCCAACGACCAAGCUGCAUCUGAGUAUAUUUGUGUACCUGGAAAAUCUAUUGUAGACUGAGAAGUAAGAACAGUAGAAAGCUUUAGCUGUUCUGGCUGACCGUGAUGUCCCUUCCAAGUUGAAUCAUGAACAUGUAACUCCUUCAUCAGUGAAGUGUCUGUGUCCUGCAUAACAGCAUUGUACACAACAAAAACUUGCUCUGGCUUGAUGUUCUUGCGAUUAAAUAAAUAGUCAUUUCUCACUUUCCAUAAACACCAGAGAAAAGUAUAGAGAUUAAUAGUUGAAAUGUGAGGGUGAUUGGAAGAAAGCAAAAACUGUAUCAUAUCGGGUAUAGUUUGAUGUGUGGCAGCUAACAUUUCAGUUCUGAUGUACCAAGGAUGUGAAAACCAAGCCGCUUUGGAGAAGUGACAUAAGAAUAACAUGUGCAUUUCAUCUUCUUCCAUGCCACACCUGGAGCACUCAGAUUUUAUAUGUUUGGAAAACUUACCUGCUCUUUUCCCAGUAGCUAGGGCUCGCCGAAGUAGUCUCCAAGCAAAAGUUUGAACCCUGGGUAACAUCAUUUUUUCUGCCCAAACCUGAUUGAGAAGGGAGAUUACCUGUUGUGGCACUGGCUUAGGUCUCUGAUUAAUAGGGAGCUCAAGAUUUUUGUAACAAUGCUUGUAGGCACUUUUGGUUGAGAAUUCACCUGCAGGGGUUAGCUUCCAUACAAGCAAAUCAUGGCCUAGAGAAUCAACUAUAGGGGUUUGCAAGAUGACAGCUGCAGUUUCAGGGGUAAACAAGGUAUUAACUAGUUGGGUGUUCCAUACCUUUUGACUAUUGGACCACAGAUCUUUUACCACAGCUGGAUAGAAGUAAGGUGGUUGUUGAAUAUUCAAAUUGUCAUAAAUAUCUUGCCAUUUAGAGAACCAUGGAGAGCUCCAAAUGGAGGAGCUUCCAUCCACAAGUUGAUAAAAAGAUGCAGAGCUCAGUAGAUGUCUUACCUUCAAUAUGGCUGUCCAGAAAACUGACUUAGGCAUAUUGGCUUCUGCUCUCCAAAAUGAGGUAUUUGCAUAGUACUUUGACUUGAGAAUAAGAGCCAAAUUACUGUUAGGCUCCUUAGCUAUUCUCCAAGCUGCAGAAAGAAUUAAACUUUGGUUGAUGGCUUGUAGAUUCCUAAUUCCUAGGCCUCCUAUCUUCUUAUCUGUGCAUAUGUCCGCCCAGGCUCUCAAACAUAGAGCCCUUUUAGUAGAGUCAUCCUUAAUACCUGUCCACCAAAAAUUCCUGAUGAUAGAUGUGAGCCUAGCAAGAAAUUUCUUAGAAAACAAAAUGUUGGACAUGUAGUAGACAGGAAUUGAAGAGAACACAGAUUUGAUCAAGGUCAAUCUAGCUGCAUGUGAAAGCCUAUUAGCUUUGUAAGUAGAGAGCUUCGACUUAAAUUUAUCGUACACAAAAUUAUAAGCUCUAGCUCUAUCCUUAGCCGGAAGAAUAAGAGGAUGACCCAAAUGGGUGAAGGAGUUAUCCAUAUCUGGCACUGGAAAUAAGUUCCUGAUAUCCUGCUUUUCCUGCAAAGAAACGUUUGUACUAAACAUAAUGGCUGACUUAUUCCAGUUGGGAAGCUGCCCCGAAAGGUGGGCAAAUUGCUGUAAAAUUUGGGAAAUAGUCUGAACUUCCUGCAUAUUAGCUUUUCCACAUAUCAACAAGUCGUCAGCAAACAUUAACGAGUGGAUAGGAGGGCAGUUUGGACCUAAGGAUAUACCUGAGAGCUGGUUGGCUUGUAGUGCAUUCUGUAGGGCCAUUGAGAGCUCAUUAACAGCAAGGACAAAAGGAUAUGGAGACAAAGGACAUCCUUGUCGUAUACCCCUAGAACUUUUGAAACAUCCAAAAGGCUGCCCAUUUAUGAUCACAGAAAAAGAGGGAGAAGAAAUGCAAGCAUAUAUAAGAUUAAUGAAAUGGCUAUGCAACCCCUUACGUGCAAGAGCAGAGCAAAUGAAAUUCCACUCGAUUCUAUCAAAAGCUUUUGCAAGAUCGAUUUUAAGCAUGAAGUCAUUGCCUUUAUAGGAUUUCAAGGAGAAAGAGUGAGCAAUUUCUUGCGCUACUAUGAUGUUGUUACUAAUACGUCUACCUUUAAUGAAUGCCUGCUGAGAAGGAUGGAUGUAAUCUGGCAAAUGAGACUUCAACCUAUUAGCCAAGGACUUAGCAAUAAUUUUAUAAACUACAUUACACAGGCUUAUAGGUCUAAAAUCUGAAGGUAAUUUACAAACUAUCUUUUUGGGGAUAAGAGCAAUAUGAGUUUCAUUAAGACGAGGAGGCAGAACACCUGUAACGUAAAAAUUCCUUACCAGUUGAGUAACAUCAUCACCAAUCCAGCUCCAAGCUGUUUUAUAAAAGCCCGCAUUAAAGCCAUCCGGACCUGGAGAUGCAUUCAUCCUCAUUUCUUUUAAAAUCUCCCAGAGUUCCUGCUUAUCUGGUAUUGAAGUAGUAAAGUCUUGUGUGUCCUGAGGAAGAGUAGUACUUAAAAAAGGUCUACAAUUAUUAGGACUUAAAGAUUGAAAAAUGUUCUUAAAGUAGUCUACAAAUUCAUUUGCAAUGUCCUGGGGAUCAAAAAGAUCUUUGUCUUGAGCAUCCUUGAUGGAAAGAAUGCGGUUGCGUCUCAUACGCUUAGUAACAGCAUUAUGAAAAAAUGAAGUAUUCCUGUCACCGCGAGUAGCCCAAUGUUUCUUGGCCCUUUGCCUGUAAUAUUCAUUGAGCUUGGACAUGUUUCUUUCAUAUUGAGCUACAAGCUGAACCUCAACAGAAUGUUCCUGAUCCUCAAGGGGUUGUGCUUGGAUGUUGUUGAUCUGUUCUUCCAGAGAUCGUAACUGUUUUUGAAGGGAAUCCUUUUUCUUGCACCAUUUUUUAAGCGUUCCUGCAAGAUUAUUAGCCCUGAUGUGGAAGGGCAUAUCUACUGUAGAGGACCAAGCAUUAUUAGCAACAGUGUGGAAGUCCUCUUCCAGAGCGCACCAAUUUUCAAACUUAAAAGUCAACCGAGGCCUGCGAAACUUCGAUUCCGUGGAGACCAAUAUAGGAGCAUGAUCACUCAAAAUAAUAGGCAAGUUAAAAACAUUAGUGUUCGGAAAAAGAUCACACCAUUCAGCAUUUGCCAAGCAACGAUCAAGCCUUUCAAACACAGGUUUGGAAGAAAAACGUCUAGUUGUCCACGUAUAAGCAGGGCCAGAAAAGCCCAAAUCGAACAAACCACAUUGCUUAACAUACCCAUUGAAAGCACGCAUACGAUUUUUAUACACAUUAACAGAGGAAGUUUCCGUAUCAUACAUAAUAUUAUUAAAAUCUCCUAAACAAACUACUGGUUUGUCGAGAUUAUCACAUACAAAAUUGAAAAUAAACUCCCAGAUCAUAUUAGUAAGACGAUGGUGGGGAUCUCCAUAAACACAUACAAGUACAAACUCUACACUAGUGGGACAAUGCACAGCUAAAGCUAAGAUGAGAUUGCUAUUGGAGUACUUGACUGAGAGAGAAACAUCAUCAGACCAUAGCAACCACAGUCCACCGGAAAGACCAAUCGAAGGAACCACAAAGCUAGCCGAAGUAUUAAAACGAGUAUUUAGCUGAGCAGAAUUGCACCUAGAGGACCUAGUCUCUGAAACAAAAGUUACCUGCGCACCGGUGGAGUACAUCAAUCUAGCUAAAUAGUCCAUUUUGUUGGAUUCGCGGAGACUCUUACCCUUACCUCGACAAUUCCAACUGAUGAGUUUCAAGGCCGCAGCAGGAGAAGGAGGCACAGUACGAGCAUCUGCCAUGGCAGGAUCCAGUCCUGCACCUGAAGGACGACUUCUUAUAACAGCAUCCGUAGCAGAAAACUUUCCCAUGGCCAUCAGACUCAGGACCCCAAUCGAUCAGGGUUGACAAAGAGAGAUGGAUCUGGAUGGAAUAAGGAAUCAGCUGAGACACCCUAGAAGAAACCUGGCAUCCAGUUCAUAACGCGCAACGGGCACUCUUCUUCUACCGCAACAAUCCAAGAAAAAGCCCCAACAAAGACAGAUCUACAAGAUUCCAAUCUGAAGAUCUAGGGGAUGGAGGGUGGGAGAAGGCGCGAGAGGAGGCUAAUCCGCGGAGGAAGGAGGGAACAGGAAACCGAACACAACGGCCGAAAUCACCGGCGAUGAGAAAAGCGGCGGCAACACAAGGUAGCGAAGGAGAGUUAUCCUCAAAUUGAGGAAUCAAGAAGUCGUGUGGGAGACUGGAAAAUAGACGAUAGAGACGAACAGAUUAAGCGCGAGGGGAUAGAAGUGGAGAAGAAAGAAAGGGGAUCAAAUCUGGGAAGAAAUUGGAAGGGAAGAAUCAGAAUUCAGGGACAGAGAUACGGCAUGAAGCCAGUCGCCACUUAGGCAAGUCACAUACAGCACUCUAGUGUUGUUUUCUGUUGGUAGAAAGACCAGAGAGUUGAGGCUCGAUAUGACGAGAGUUGGUCCAUCGAUCGAACUGUUCCUUCCCUGUGAGGUUCCUGCACUAACCUAACCCCCAUUUGUAUUUGUUUCCUCUUUAUAAAUACUAGGAUGUGAGUGGUGUCAUGACCAUGUAGUCAGGCAUACAAACAUAGGUUGGUUCAUCUGCUCGUCCAACUUCAUAUCUUUAAGUGGGAAAACUGUUGUACUAAUUGCUAAUCUAGAGUGAUUAUGCUUUAGGAAUGAGCGGCGUUGGAAAAUACAAUUGAACUACCAACACUCAGUGCAUAAACUGAGACAAUGACUACCCGAAAUAUUUUUUGUACAACGAGUAGAGUCGCACCUACUAGUCCACCAGGUCUCCUUGUCCUCUUUACACAUACCAGAGAUGUGAGUGCUAACAUCAAUGGCUCCAGUACACCUCUGCCGCUGGUUAGAGUGACCUAAUCUCUGGUGGCAAGCACGUCCUAUGCGAUAAACAUGAGAGGUCACGAUCAUGUGCAACGCAACCAUGGUUCUCAAAGCCAUGUUGGGAACGAACUGAUGAAUGUUGUGUGUGCAGUAGGAGAAAGUCAUGUGUAUACCGGGCGGUUACACCCGAAUUGGUGAACCAUGCAUGCAAAAAGGAUAAGAAUGCCAUGAAAUUGUCCAUUGAAAACACCUAGGUGGUCGCCACUUGCGUCAAAUUGUGCAAAGUUUAUCAACUAAUUAUUCGAGUGAGUCUUUCAAAGUCAAGGAUUCCACCAUUGUUGGUCUAUGAUCUACAAUCGGCUGACCAAUAGGAGGUCAAUUGGUCCAAAAAUUCAAUGUAAGACACCUCAGGCAAGCUUUGUUUUCUAUUACAGCAAGGCAGCUCAGUAGACAUUGUUGAUGCCGCAAGCUAAUUUCGACCCCAAAACAGCAGAAAACAAUUAAACAAUAGUAAGGAAAUACAAGUACAACUAAGAAGCAUCCGGGACGGUGGAACAAAGACAAAGUCCAAGACAAUAGUACGAAAUCCAUCGGAUCAGUGACGCGUGUGAGUCACCUACUUCUUAAUUAUAGAUCAUUUGAUCCUCAGGUGUGACAUAUUGCUAGUGCAUCGUGGUCGGGAUCUUGUUUGCCAAACUGGCGUGAUCUGUGUUGAAACUUUUACUUGGUAUCGACGAACGAGUAUGCAAGAAGUUUGUCUCAGCUUCUGCUCGCUCCAUUGCAGCCUGUGUGGAUUGCCUACAAAUGUGGAUGUGGAUCCAAGGGUCGACAAAAUCUGGAGCAUUAACAUACCACCAGACACAGCGAUCGCAGCAAAACAGUUUGGAAAUAUGUCAACAUCUUUUCAUAUACUUCUCAAGCAGAUCAUCAAACAAGAUUUUGAGAGGAGAGUGUAGGAACUACCAAUGCCUUCACGCACAGAAAGAUUAGGCCUUAUCACAUCCUUUGAGUUCACCAUGAAGGAUACAAGUAAAUGUCCACUUGACCAGAAUAGCUCUGUUAUAACAUAAUAAUGGGAUAUUGCACAUUCAGAUGAGGCAAAGCUAUGCCUUGGUGAGAACGAACAAUAGAAAGGUUCAUUUUGAGUAUUUUGUGGGUAUUCCUUGCCAUCCUUUACAACGCAAACUAGUCAAAUUUGUUGAUGUCGAAAGCUAAGUGAUACUCUGUACAUUCAUAAGAAAACAAUUAAACAAUAGUAAAAAAAAGGAUACAUUUAUGACUACGAAGUAUCUAUGGUGGUGCAAAGUAUAAGCCAACUAUACAAAUUGCAUCAGAAGCAAUGUGUGUGAGUCACCUACUUCUACUUAAUUGCACGUCCUUCUAAUCCACAUGCGCGACAAAUCGCUACUACAUUGUGUUCAUGAUCUUGUUUGGCGAAAUCGUGUGGUAUGAAUUCAAAGUUCUAUUUGUUAUCGAUGGACAAAUAUGCAAGUAGUUUUCCCCGACUUUUGCUUGCUCUCCUGUGAUCUGCUUGGAUUGUAUGUGGAUGUGGAUCUAGGGUUGACAAAAUCCAGGGCAUCGACAUACCAGCAUAUACGACGAUUUUUGCGGAACAUUGUGGAAACAUGUCAACGCCUUUUUUCACAUGUUUCUGAAGCAAUUAUCAAAUAAGGUACCGGGAGGAGAAUUUAUGAAGGAGUGUCCAAGACCUUUGUUGUGUGUGCCUCUCAGGUGUGCAGCAAUGCUAGUAAAAACAGAUUCAACUAAUGUGGUUGAGGCAUACACGGGCCAAGAAACCAUAAAGAAUGAGGCUAUGUUGAUUUAUAAUAUUGUGUGGCAUUAGCUGGACUUAUCGGGGAGCCGGGGAGGUAGAGUUCAUCGUUACCAAGGGAAUUAAAUGGAGAGGCACCCACCAUUGUCAAGUCUUGCUUUUCUAAUCAACUUUCAUGUAAUAGAGUUGAUGAACCACCUAGUAUUUGAAUCAAUAAAGCUAGCAAUGAUAACCUUCCCUAAAAAAAAGACUCGGGGCAUCCUUGGUGGACGAGAGACAAUGAAAACUGGUGUUUUUUUACAUUUAUUAAGAGGAGCUUACCUUAUCUUUAGAAACUCCAUGUGUGGUAACUUGUUACAAGAUAGUAAGAUUUCAAUUUUUUGUAAGGCACUCAGUACUAUACACCAGUCUGUGAAGAUCUGAAUUAAUAGCUUUUUUUAUAAAUGGAGGGGGACCCCCGGCCUCUGCAUCUGAACAAUGCAUGCGGCCACUUUAUUAAUUAUUCACACAAGACCUUACAAAGUCAUACAACAAUAAGACUAAAGCCACCGUCUAGACAACAUCUGUCGCUACUCCUAUCCAGUUGAUGAAAGGAUGUUGAAAGUGCGUUAUGUCGACUAGAGGGGGGGUGAAUAGGCGAUUUUUAUGAAUUCUUCACUGAGGAAUUAGCCGGUGAGGAAAUUCCUUAGCGAAGAACUAUUAGCAGCGGAAUAAGUACUCAGAAGUAAGCAUAACAUAAUACAAGCACGGUCAUCAUGAUGAAAUGAAGACUAGCACAGAGUACAGAAAGCGUAAUCCCAAGAUAGCACAAGAUGAAGACAAACAGACUGAAGAAAUUGAACUGAGGAAAUUGAGAAAGUCUUCAGUCAAAGUCUUCAAACACAGAUAUGAACAAACACUCAACACAGUAAUGAUGAAAUGAAAGGGUUGAGGAAAUAGAACCAGUUAGGUUGGUGAAGACAAUGAUUUGGUAGACCAGUUCCAACUGCUGUCUCAGUUGUACGUCUGGUUGGAGCGGCUGAGUGUUUAAACUUGAGGACACGCAGUCCCGGACAUCCAGUCUCUGAGCACGCAGCUCAGGACACACAGUCCUCACCGUAUUCUCCUUGAACUAAGAUCACGCAGAUCUCGUCCAAUCACUCGCGGUAAGUCUUCAGGCGACUUCCAAACCUUCACAGACUUGGUCACUCGGCAAUCCACAAUUCCUCUUGGAUGCUCUAGACCUUGACGCCUAACCGUCUGAAAGAAGCACAGUCUUCAAAGGUAACAAGCGUCGGAUCCACGCAGGAUCAAUUUCUUCAGUGAUGCUCAAUCACUUGGGUUUGCAGGUGUUUGGGUUUUUGGGAUUUUCCUCACUCGAUGAUUUUCGCUCAAAGUCCUCGGAGGAUGGGUUGCUCUCAAAUGACAAGUGUCAAGUUCUCUCGGAGCAGCCAACCAGCUAGUGGUUGUAGGGGGCGGCUAUUUAUAGCCUAGGGAGCAGCCCGACAUGAUAAGACAUAAAUGCCCCUCAAUGAUAUGACCGUUAGGUGGAUAAGAUAUUUUGGGACAGCUGGCGCGCAGCACAGCAACGGUCGGAAAUUUGACUCUCAAAUUCCUCAGGGCUAUCAUGUUCCUCACUGUGUAGGUAAUCCGCACUGGCGAAUUCCUAACUCCUUAGUCAGAGCAAAUUCAUCAGCGACCAGAAGAACUUCGUCUCUGUCACUGAAGAAAGUGACUGAACUGUAUGAGAUUUCCAAAGGCUUCACUCGAAGGGAUUGGUAGGUGUAGGAUUUUGAGUUGAGCAUCACAUGGAAAUUUUUCCUUAGUAUUUCCUCGACCCCCUUUAACAGUAUGGUGUUUCCUAUGACUCAAGAAAGAGAAAAUGAAACUAUGAAAACAAAAGUCUUCACGCUUCAUGUUCCACAAAUGAAUACCAAGUCUUCAAGGUCACACCAAUUUCUUCACUUUCAAAGUCUUCAGAAAGUCUUCAGAAUAUCAAAGUCUUCAGUUGAAGAACUUCAUUUUUAGGGGUCGACUUUCUCUGUAAAUAUCAAACUCCUCAUAGACUUAUAGACCUGUGUACACUCACAAACGCAUUAGUCCCUUAACCUAUAAGUCUCCAAUACACCAAAAUCACUAAGGGGCACUAGAUGCACUUACAAAUGUUGAUAGUCUGGGCCUAAUACCAAACAGACCUCGCAGCCAAACCUAAACAUCUAAGACCUGAGGUCCCAACCAGGACGCCUGCCGGGUAUGGGGAACCUACCAGUCCGGCGCAUUCCUGAACCAGGACGCCUGCCAAGUAUGAGGCCACCACAGCCACCUGCCACCACCAUCUUCAGAGCUGUACUGUUGCAUCUACCGUGCCAGGUCUCUUUGCCAUCGACGCCACCACGACGCCAGACAGCGUCGUCCUCCUGCGCGAGUCCAUCCUCGCACAUCAAAUGCCGAAUCUGCACUGCGCCAUGCCGUCAAGAUCCGUCGCCAUCAAUGUGUUGGAUGAAGCACCACUCCACCAAAGAAGCCGUCCGCUGGUCCCGUGAGAAGGAGUGCACCUCCAAGAAUGCCGCCCCCAAGGGGGUAACGACACAUGAUUGCCGCCAACAUCCGAUCAGCUGAUCUAGGGUUUCCCCCGGAGGUAUUGAGUGGAGCUGGGAGCUUCACCUCGAUGAUGCCUUCAUGAAGGAAACGAUGAUAAGGGCAUCGUCAUCACCGGCUCCGGCCAUCCACCGAAGACCAAGUUUUCACCCGGAUCCGUCCCAAGUAGUCCACCCGACAACCUGUGCAUCGUCUUGACCGCCUUCAAAGCCCCAAAUCUAGCCGCCUAGAUCCGGUGACCAACCGCAACAGCAAUGCCACCGUAGGAGCCCUGGCGCACCGGCCACUGCCUGAGUGUGCCACCACUGGAGCCUAGAAGGAGGGCUCCCACCCCGCCUCGCCAAGCCGCGAGAGCCACCGAGAUGGAUCCCGCGUGCUCGUCACUGUCUCUGAUCCGAACCAAUCCGUAGAUCAGAUCGUCGUCACAGAUCCGCCUUGGACAUGGACUGCACCACGCCAUGCCGCCGCGGGAAGACCUAGCUUCACCGGCCGCCACCAUCCAGGGCCGCCGCCCCGGGAUCCAGACCAACUCCGACGAAGAAGAAGGCCACCACCACCAAGCCUAGGGCCGGCGCCACAGACAUCCUCGUGUUGCAGAUCAAGUCCAGGAGUAGUGCACCGCUAAUGGCGAUUGAGAUCGUAGCACAACGAAUUAGCCCGACUGAGUCAAGGCCAGAUCCCCCAUUGCUGGUGCCGUCCUCCACCGCCGCCGCCGCACCACAUCCAUGUCGUCGCCGAUCUGGCCGGAAAGGAGCGCCGCCUCUCAACUAGAUCGAGAUCCGAGGAGAAAACCGCCGCCGCCACCAUGCCACAAGGGCUUUGCCCUGUGACGCCUCGGGCGAUGGCGGCGGAGGAGAGCGGAGGUGAGGGGCGGCUGUAGGAGGAGGGCGGGGGCUCCCCGGUGCAGGGCGGCGCCGCCGCACGGGGGAGGAGGAGGGGGCGGCGGCUUUGAAUUAAUAGCUACAUGAAUAAUUUUGGUACAACUCGAGUAAAGCCACACCUACUAGUUACAUUUGUAUACGUUUCCUCUUUAUAAAUACUAAGGUGUGAGUGGCGACUUGACCCAUGUAGCCAGGUAAAUAUAGAUUGGUUCCUUAUUUGCUCGUCCAACUUCAUAUCUUUUAAGUAAGAAAGCUCUGUCGUAAUUGCUAUUCUGGAGUGAUUAUGCUGUAGGAACGGGCGGCAUUGAGAAAAAUAAGUCAAGUGAUGAGACAACACUCUGUGCACAAAUUGAAAUAACGUCUACCCGGAAUAUAUUUGGUACAACGAGUACAGUCGUACCUACUAGUUCACACGAUAGCGUUGUCCUAUUUACGUAUACUAGAGAUUUGAGUGCCGACAUCAGUGGUGGAGUCAGCACUCGGCGACCCGGGGCAGCUGCCAGGGCUCGCCGCUGCCGCUAGUUUGAGCGAAGCUCUGAUGGCAAGUUAGUCCUGCGCGUUGAACAAUAGUGAAGCCAAGAUCAUGCACAUGACAAGCAUGGUUCUGAAAGCCAUGGAACGAACCGAUGAAUGCAGUGCCAAACCAAGUGCCUGCGCAUGCAUAUUUAACAUCCUACCGUGAUGGUGUAUAGCAGCCUAGCAGGAGCAGGUCCACAUGUAGUGUAGACCGGUCUGACCCAGUUAACUGUCAAGCGAAAAUGAUAGAAACGUUGUCAAAUUUGUCCAUGGAGAAAUGAGAAUGCUUGGGUUUGUCUCUACCAGUGUCAGAAUGUGCAAAGUUUAUCACAUCAGCUAAUUGUUCCAGCAGAUUGUGCAAAGUUUGUCAUAUCAGCUAAUUGUUCCAGCAAGUCUUUCAAAGUCAGGGUUCCAGUUCCACAAUUGUUGGUCUACUGUCUACUAUUGCCUGACCAAUAGGAGUUUUUUUUUUCAAAACAGAGGCAAAAAUAUUUGCCUCAUCGAUUAAUUAAGAAGAAGAGAGUUGCCCGGUUAAUUUAUGGAAAACCGGGCAAAAACUGAUACAGACUUCCAAAUACGGACUACUCGCAAAGUACGAAACACCAAAACUGCUCAAGCGGCACUCUAAACAAGCAACAACCGCAACCCUCAAUACUUGUAGAACACAAUGAAACUCCUAGCGAGCACACCAACGAAAAAUGACCACCCUCCACCAUGAAACCACAGACGCCUUUCGGAUGGCGCCACACUUCUUGUUUUUCUUCUUCUUUGGUUUCUCCUUAGUUGACUUCUUCUUUGGAGGGUCACUUGUCUUGCCAGAUGCCGGCUGAUGGGCCACCCAUUUGUCAAGAAAAUCAUAAAACUCAUUGAAUUUCUUAGUUUUGUUGUCAUCAACCAAGACGCCGCCAGGAGCAGGCAUCAACACACUGACCGCAUCAACAACCUCAACCAAAGGAAUCACCGACGCAACCUCAUCGACCACAAGAACCGCCAAUGCUAUGGACUCAGGCACCUCCAGUUGCUCACAUGACUUUGGCAACACAUGCCCCUCACACGAGGCCGCCAAUGAGACCACCUCCAAAUGCUCUACAGAGAGAGGCGAAUCAGGGCUAAGACAUAGCUCUCAUAGCUCGGGCAUGACCUGCAACACCGGAGCAUCAAGCACGACAAUGGACUCGCCCGAGAGUGACGAUGAACCGUUCUCAAUACAAGGGGAGAAACAUCCAUAUAACUCUUGCCUCCCUUCCUCCAUAGAGCCAACAUCUUCCACGCCAGAGGGGCAUGACAUCGGAGUGGUCUGCGACCUAGCCGGUGCAAGGGAGAGCCUGCUAAGAGCAACCUCCGCCCGCUCAAGAAAGCUAUGAACCCGUGCCAGACAACUCUGCAACAAUGUUGUCUGAUCGGUCAGAGAGGACCGCAACAUCAUAUCGGGUGGGGUUGCUGAGUCAACGGUAGCAGAGACGACAGACGCCCAAGACCCAUGGUGAAGCGCCUUGCAGGGGAGCACGGAUUUCAUUGCACCCUUACAUGAAGCUAGAGCAGGAUGGCGCAUGGAACCGAGGACUGGCGGCAUGGCAAGUCAUGCCAAAGAACUUAGAGGACGCCAAGGAUUGCGGCAUCCGCACGCACGGUGACCGUUCUCCAAGCAACAAGAGCACCGAAGAGGAUCUCUGCAGUCGGCCGCACGAUGCCCAGGAGCGAAGCAUCUGCAACAUCUACCGUGCAGCGAAGCAGGGAUUGGACGGGGAGCCAUUGCAGGGGCUAGCGAUGUCGGGCGACGCGGACCAUGCCGGGGCAACACCUCCUGCCAUCCCUUACUCGCCUUCACCACCAUGUCCGGCAGAGCAGCGGCCGGGGUCGAGGCCUUGGCAGCAGGCGGUGUCAUAGGGGCCAGCUCUUCUUCAUCGUCAUCGUCGCCGUCAGCGGCGAGAGAGGUCCAUGACUCGGGCUCAGGCCGACCCGAGCCGAGAUGCGGUGGCGCGGCGACGGGAGAGCACAUCCCCACCGGGCCCUCCACGACACAGAUCGACGCAGCAGAGGCCUGCACGGGCAGCCGCACGGGCGCACGCACAGGCGCACGCACAGGCGCAACCAACUUGCUCGGAGACACCACCAGCACCUUCCCUGACCCGCCAACAGCAUGGACGGAGCGGCCCAGCACCGGCAGGGCCCGAUCCAGAUGGGAUCGAGCAAGAGACGGGGCUGGCUGCGGGACGACGCACGGUGCGGAGCCAGCAGACAUCUCAGCGGGAGGCGGCGACAGCGCGCUCGCUGGGGCGUGGACCAGCGUUGGGGUGGCCGACGGGGAGCUGCCGGUGAAGACGGGAGAGACGGUGCGGGGUUGCCGGGGCACAGCUCCCACACCUGAUUCCUGGCAGGAGGAAAGGGGGGAGCAGACGACAUGGAGGCCGGAUCUGGGAGCGGCAGACGCGGGGGUGGCCGGAGCAUGGAGAUCCGGCCGGCGGCGGCCGCGCGCUCACGCGGGGACGACCGCGGUCGCGAGAGUCAUGCUCGCUCUCCCCCGCUUGACCACGAACUGUGGUUACCAAUAGGAGGUUUGGUUAGUCCAAGAAUUGAAGUUAACACACCUCAAGCAGGCAUUGUUUUCUUUUACAGCAAGGCACUUAGUUAGACAUCGUCGAUGCCGAAAAUUAAUUUGGGCUCCCAAACAGCAGGAAGAAAAUGAUUUAACAACAUUAAGAAGCAUCAGGGGCGGUGGUACAAAGACAAAGUCCAAGCCAAUUGUACAAAAUCCAUCGGAUCGGCAGCGCGUGUGAGUCAACUACUUCUACUUAAUUAUAGAUCCUUCAAUCCUCAGGCGUGACAGACUGCUAGUGCAUCGCGCUCAGGAUCUCGUUUGCCGCACUGGUGUAAUCUGUGUUGAAUACUCCCUUCAUAUCAAAAUAUAAGACGUUUUUGACACUGUCACAGUGUAAAAAAGGUCUUAUAUAUUUUCAUACGGAGGGAGUACUAGGUGAACUCCGAACUUAAUGAGAACGAACAAUAGAAUGGUUCUUUUGAAGUAUUUUGUAAGUAUUCCUUCCCAUCCUAUACUAGGUGAACUAGUCAAAUUUGUUUCUCUAGGGGAAAACUAGUCAAAUUUUGUUUGUUGAUGCCGAAAGCUAAGUGGUACUCUGAACAUUCAGAAGAACAAAAUUAAAAAAUAGUAAAAAAUAUAUACAAUUAUGACUACGAAGUAUCUAUGGUGAUGCAAAGUAUAAGCCAAUUAUGCAAAUUGCAUCAGAUAAGCAAUGCGCGUGAGUCGCCUACCUCUACUUAAUUGCACAUCCUUCUGAUCCUUAGGCGCAACAAAUCGCUAACACAUUGUGUUCAUGAUCUUGUUUGGCCCAAUCAUGUGGUAUGUGUUCAAAGUUCUAUUUGUUAUUGGUGAACAAAUAUGCAAGUGGUUUUCCCCGGCUUCUGUUCGUUCUCCUAUGGCAUGCUUGGAUUGUAUGUGGAUGUUGAUCUAGGGUUGACAAAAUCCAGGGCAUCGACAUACCACCAUAUACAACGAUCUUUGUGAAACAUCGUAGAAAUGUGUCAACGCCCUUACACAUGUUUCUAAAGCAAAUUAUCAAAUAAGGUACCGAGAUGAGAGUUUGUGAAGGGGUGUCCGAGACCUUUGUGGUGUGUGCCUCUCAAGUGUGUAGCAACACUAGCAGAAACAGAUUCAACUAAUGUGGUUGAGGCAUACACAGGCCAAGAAACCAUACAGAAUGAGGCUACGGUGUUUUAUGAUAUUGUGUGGCGUUAGCUGGACUUAUUGCGGAGGUGGAUUUCAUCGUUACCAAGGGAAUUGAAUGGAGCGGCACCCAAGAUUGUCAAGUCUUGCUUUUCUAAUCUACUUUCAUGUAAUAGAGUCGAUGAAUCACCUGGUAUAUAAGGCUACAGUGAUGAUCUUUCCUAAGAAAAAGACUGGGCGUCCUUGGUGGAUGAGCUUACAUUAUCUUUAGAAACUUCAUGUGUGGUAACUUGUUACAAGGUAGUAAGAUUUCAGCUUUUGUAAGCCACACGGUACUAUAAACCAUGUGAAAAUCUGAAUUAUAGCUAUGCCGAUACUUUUGGUAUGGCGAGUAAAGCUGCACCUACUAGUUACAUUUGUAUAUGUUUCCUCUUUAUAAAUACUAAGAUGUGGGUGGUGACAUGACCCUGUAGCCAGGCAAACAAAUAUAGAUUGGUUCCUUAUUUGCUCGCCCAACUCCAUAUAUUUAAGUAAAGAAAACUCUAUCGCAAUUGCUAUUCUGAAGUGAUUAUGCUUUAGGAAUGAGCGGCAUUGGGAAAAACAAUUCAACUGGCGAGCCAAUACUCAGUGCACAAACUGAAACAAUAGUUACCCGGAACAGUUUUGGUACAACGAGUAUACUCACACACACUAGUUCAUGAGGACAGCCCUGUCCUUUUUACAUUACAUAUGCUAAAGAUUUUAGUGCUGGCAUCAGUGGUGGAUGUUGGAUCACAGGCCGGAGUACACACGCGAGCAUGGUGGAGAGGAACAGCGAGAGGAACACGAAGACACCUGUAGUUUUGCGAGGCGCAACUGCAAGCCUCUUUUCUUGUUAUCUCUUAUUUAUACGGUCAAAUAAAUUGCCGUUUUGUUACAACAGAAAAUAACGUAAACACAGCGGAGAACGGGUAUAACGGACGUGCCAUCCCACGGCCACCCGAACUGCGCUGCGACGCCGCUGCAUGCGCUGGAUUCGUGCCAUCCCACGAAGCACAAACGGCGGCCACAUCCAACUAACUAAAUACUAAGCCAAGACGUGUACAUGCACACGUUGCAUGACACGAUUAUUUGCAAAAAGAGAACUAGCAACCGAGUAGCCGAGCUACACGCCUAACAAAACCAUGCAACCUAGAACCUGCACUACACAUACAUGCUAAUGCAACAGGAUUAUCCAACAAUCACUCCCUAAUCUUGUUGCUGCUUGAUGUUCACCUGAUUUUGGGUAGCCUACUUGAUCUGGCCUUUGCUGCCCGCGUCCGCGCUUGAUGCUCGUGAGCUGACGCCACGGUGGGCGACACCCCCUUUCUUGAUGGCAUCUCCAUGCAUGUCAGGCUGCUGCUGCUGGUGUCUGAAAGAUUCUGGGUUCAACUUUGUUGAUGACACAUGAGAAGCGCCAAAUGCUGUCUUGAGUAGCACCUUGUACAGCCGGUUGGGUGAUCUCUUAACCUUCAUCUGCAUCUUCCCAGACCUGCCUCUAGAGACUUUUUACGGUGCAUCAUACUCCUGUAAAUAGUGGGUAGUAUCAAAGAUUAGGCCUUAUCACAUCCUUUGAGUUCACCACGAAGGAUACACAGUAAAUGUCCUCUUGACCAGAAUAGCUCUGUUAUAACAUAAUGAAGGGAUAUUAUACAUUCAAAUGAGGCAAAGCUAUGCCUUGAUGAGAACGGACAAUAGAAAGGUUCAUUUUUAGUAUUUUGUGAGUAUUCAUUGCCAUCCUUUACAAGGCGAACUAGUCAAAUUUGUUGAUGUCAAAAACUAAGUGGUACUCCGAACAUUCAGAAGGAAACAAUUAAACAAUAGUAAAAAAAAAUACAUUUACAACUAUGAAGUAUCUAUGGUGGUGCAAAGUAUAAGCCAAUUAUACAAAUUGCAUCAGAUAAGCAAUGUGUGUGAGUCACCUGCUUCUACUUAAUUGCACAUCUUUCUGACCCUCGGGCGCGACAAAUCGCUAAUACAUUGUGUUCAUGAUCUUGUUUGGCGCAAUCGUGUGGUAUGUGUUCAAAGUUCUACUCCCUUCUUUCACUUUUAUAAGUCAUUUCAGACAAUUGAAAUUGAGUUGCACGAUGUCUGAAGUGUUUACAACGCCUUAUAAAAGUGAACAGAGGGAGUAUUUGUUAGGGAAUUGAUGAACAAAUAUGCAAGUAGUUUUCCCUGACUUUUGCUUGCUUUCCUGUGAUCUGCCUCGCAAGUGUGUAGCAAUGCUAGCAGAAACAGAUUCAACUAAUGUGGUUGAGGCAUACACAGGCCAAGAAACCAUAGAGAAUGAGGCUACGGCGAUUUAUGAUAUUGUGUGGCGUUAGCUGGACUUAUCGGGGAGCCGGGGAGGUGGGGUUCAUCGUUAACAAGGGAAUUGAAUGGAGCAGCACCCACGAUUGUCAAGUCUUGCUUUUCUAACCAACUUUCUUGUAAUAGAGUUGAUGAACCACCUAGUAUUUGAUAUAAAUAAAGCUAGCAGUGAAGAUCUUCCCUAAGAAAAAGUCUUUGGACGUCCUUGGUGGAUGAGUGACAAUGAAAGACUGGUGUGCUUUUUAACAUUUAUUAAGAGGAGAUUACCUUAUCUUUAGAAACUUCAUGUGUGGUAACAUGUAAGCCACACAGUACUAUACACGACUCUGUGAAAAUCUGAAUUAAUAGCUAUGUGGAUACUUUUGGUACGAUGAGUAAAGAGCCGCACCUACUAGUUACAUUUGUAUAUGUUUCCUCUUUAUAAAUACUAGUAUAAGAUUUGAGUAGUGACAUGACCCUGUAGCCAAGCAAACAGAUAUAGUAGAUCGGUUCCUUAUUUGCUAGUCCAACUUCAUAUAUUUAAGUAAAGAAAACUUUGUCGCAAUUGCUGUUCUGAAGUGAUUAUGCUUUAGGAAUGAGCGGCAUUGGGAAAAAUAAUUCAAGUGGCGGCGCAAUACUGAGUGCACAAAUUGAAACAAUAGCUACCCGGAAUAUUUUUGGUACAACGAGUAUACAGUCACGUACUAGUUCAUCAGGAUAGCCUUGUCAUCUUUACAUAUGCUAAAGAUUUGAGUCCUGGCAUCAGUGGCGGAGCCAGUUCCUGGCGAUCCGAGCCAGCUGGUUGGGCUCACCGCUGCCGCUGGUUUGAGCGAAGUCUCUGGUGGCGAGCACAUCCUACAUGCUGGACAGUCGUGCAGCCAUGAUCAUGCACCCACCAACCAUAUGGUUCUGAAAGCCAUGGAACGAACUGAUGAAUGCGGUGCCAAGACAAGCGCCUGCACAUGCAGAUUUUACGUCCUACCAUGCUGGUGUGUAGCAGGAGCAGGUCAAUGUAGUCUAGACUAGUCAGGCCAGUCGUCGAACCAUGCACGAAAACCAUAGAAAUGUAGUCAAAUUUAUCCAUGGAGAAAUGUGAAUGCUUGGGUUGGUCGCCAGCAGAGUAUUGUUCAGAGUUGAUCACAUCAGCUAAUUGUUCCAGCAGAUUGUGCAAAAUUUAUCAUAUCACUAUUGUUCCAGCAGGUCUUUCAAAGUCAAGGUUCUAGUUCCAUCAUUGUUGGUGUAGUGUCUACUAUCACCUGACCAAUAGGAGGUUAAUUAGUCCAAGAAUUCAAGGCAGGACAACUCAAGCAGACAUUGCUUUCUUUUACAGUAAGGCACCUCAGUCAGACAUUGUUGAUGCCGAAAGCUAAUUUGGACUCCAAAACAGCCAGAAGAAAACAAUUGAACAACCGUAAGAAAAUAUAAGUAUGGCUAGGAAGCAUCUGGGGCGGCAUUACAAAGACAAAGUCCAAGCCAAUUGUACAAAAUCCAUCGGAUCGACAACGCGUGUGAGUUACCUACUUUCUACUUAAUUACAAGAUCCUUUGAUCCUCAGGCGUGACAGAUUGCUAGUGCAUCACGCUCAGGAUCUUGUUCGCCGCACUGGUGUGAUCUGUGUUGAGACUUUUACACUUGAUAUCGACGAACAUGUAUGCAGGUAGUUUGCCUCAGCUUCUUCUCGCUCCACCUCGGUCUGUGUGGAUUGCAUGCAGAUCUGGAUGUGGAUCCAGGGUCGACAAAAUCUGGGGCAUUGACAUACCACCAGACACAACGAUCUCUGCCAAACGGCGCAGAAAUAUGUCAGCGCCUUUUCACAUGUUUUGGAGCAGAUUAACAGAUAAGAUAACAAGAGGAUAUAGUUUAGGAGUUACCAAUGCCUUCACGCACAGAAAGAUUAGGCCUUAUCACAUCCUUCGAGUUCACCAUGAAGAUAUCACCAAUGUAGAGAUGGUUGGUCGGCACAUAGACACAGUAAAGGUCCUCUUGACCAGAAUAGCUCUGUUAUGACGUAACGAAGGGAUAUUACACAUUCAGAUGAGUCAAAGCUAUAGCUUAAAUCAGAGCAAAAAACAGAAUGGUUUGCAAAAGAAGCAUUUAUCAUCAUUUUGAAUAUUCCAAAAAUAUUCGUUUCCAUCCUUUACAAGGUGAGUUGGUCAAAUUUUGUGGUAAAACUGAAUUUCAACAUUCAACCAUGCAAGGGUUCAUGCCAGCGACUAAGAUUACAAGGCAACAUAACUGCAUACUGAGCAUAGAGAAAAAUCAUGAAAAAUAUAUGUAAACCUGGUAUAACAGUGAAAAUCAUUGGGAACUCGGUAUAACAGUGAAGAGUAUAGUAAACCUGGAGCGAGACUGAUGAGGUAAUGAAUCCAAAUGCAUAUUCCCCAAUAUGAGGAUGUCGUGUGAUGACUGCCUCCUUGAAUGCCUGUUUGUUUUGAUAUGUAAAAAUAAACAAAAGUUAGUGCAUAAGCUACUCUGCAGAUUGAAUAACAUGAUAACUGUGAAUUUACAUGGCGAUAUAGCAACACUAAUUUGCUUGGAUGCAUUGUAGAUGUGGCGCACAAGUGGUAUGCGCUUGAUGAUCCAUUCACCAAUGCCAAGAACAGAUGCUCCAACCCAAGAUGACAUGAAGACCCCAACAAAAAAUAUGAAAGUAACAGAAGUGAUGAAGCCAAGACCUGGAGAUUCAAAUGAGUACAGUGGGAAAAUAAGCUGGAUAGGCAGUAAGCAUCCUUCUUAGCAAUGAAUAAGUUACAAAAUAAUAACUGAUUUCAACUACUCAGUUUCAUGUCAUGUUUCACACAUUUUUUGUACAGAAAUUUAAGAAUCUAAUGACACUAUAAACUAGAACUUAAAACAAUUAUCAAAUUAUGCACCUAAUUUCUAGGUUCAGCAUACGAAUUAUGCAGACUGUAUAAUACACAGCAACAGACAAUAACAUAUAAUAUAAUAAUAACACUACAGGAUCAAACCCCAAAGUGGAAACAGGAUGAAGGCAGUCAUUUAUUGAAGAAACUACAACAUGACAUCAAACCAUCGAAGAAAUUUGAUAUUUCAAUACCAAAAGAAGCGGAGUAGUUUGCAUACCAAAAAUGUUGAUACCCAAUUGUGCAUAGAUUGGACAGAAGAAUCCAUCAACAAAAUGAAUGAACCACCAGGUGAAGUAGAAUGUUAUCGCUAUGGGGAAGAGAAUCACACUGGCAUUUUCUCAGAAAAGAACAUCAAAACAGCAUCAGUGCUUACGUGAAAAUAAAAUUUAUAUAACAGACGCAGGACAGCUGGUAAUGGUUGGUGUACAUAUUUACUGGUUAUCGCAGAAUAAGGAUGCAACUUCGAGUAAGAUUUAUUAUGUCCAGUCAGUAUUUGUAAUAAAUUUGGAGCACAUUUUGAAAUUACGAAUACAUUAAAAAUGAGAACAAAAAUCAAAAUUCUGAUUUUUUUAAAUGUUCACAUAAGCAAAUUCCAAAGGAAACAUAAAAUCAGAGAAGAAACAAAGAUGUGAAAAAUAGAGACAAAACUAUAGCUGAAAAAAAUAUGACAAAUCGGUUUAGGAACCUUUUAUAUACUCUAGUUCCCAAAACAAGCCAGGAACCUUCCAGAAGAUUCACAAUAUUGUGGCUCGAACGCUCAAAUGGGCCGGCCCAUUCAACGAUUGUGUGUGUGAUUGCCCAGUUUUUUGCCACAACAUGUGGCAAAUAGGAAAUUCCGUACGUUUGGGGAGUAAUGUCAAAUAGACGGCAGCAUGCACAGAAGGUCGCCUGACUGAGCCACCCCAUUGUCGCGCGCGGAAAUAAGAAAAAAGUCACUGAAAAAAGAAUGGCAGUGCAUGGGGUCGAACAAUGUAACUCCCACUGUUGACCACUUGUCGCUAGCCACAUGAGCUAAAAGGCUUCCAUUCAAACUAGGUAACACGGACUAUAAGAACCAUCCAUCAGCGACCAGUUUACUGUAGAGAACCAGUCUUUUUCACAAUAUUUAAUUUUAUUUUUUUUCUAUUUGCUAUUUAUCUCUUUUUUCAUUUUGUGUUUUAAUUUUAUUUUUUAUUUUUCAAAAACUGCUCAUGCUUUCAAAAAUUUGUUCAUAAAAUACAAAUAUUAGCAUUUUAAAAAUUGUAUGAUUUUUUUAAAUGUUCAUGCCUUCCAAAAUUUCUCAGAAUGCCAAAACACAAAUGUUUUCUAAAAAGAGCGAACAAAAAUUUGAAAGCACGUUAAAAGCCCAAAAAGCCCCGUUUGGAAGCACCUUCUUUUUGAUAAAUUUUGCAUUUUCUGGAGUUUCUUUCUUAAAAAAAGCCAAUAAAUGGCCAGACAUGUCAAAAAUCAUUCAAACAUGGAUGGAUGCCUACCAAGGCAUGCCAACCUGCUCGUAAAAGUUAGGGUCACUUAUUCAUAUAUCAAAACAUACCACCAGUUGGGGUGCAUCCAUGGGCAUGUAGUUUUUCCUAAUUUGAAUGUUAAUUGCAAUUUCUAUCAUUAUCAAUCAACAUGAACAAAUUGUGUGUGAAACUUUUACAAGGUUGAACACUUUUUCAAAAAUUGUUGACAAAUCUGAAUAGUUGAUGAAAAAUUUGUACACAAUCAGAAAACUACGUACAUUUUAAAAUCUAUGAAAAUUACUAAAAAGAUAAUAUUUCUUAAAUUUGUGAACAAAAACUAUACUGAAAUUCUAGAACAUUUUUUAAAAUUGCAAAGAAUAUUUGAAAACAAGAACAAAAUUUUCAACUUUUUGAACAUAUUUCAAAAAGAGUAAUAAAUUUUUAAAAGGAGAAAAAUAAAUUACCAAGAGAAAGAAAAAUGAAAAAAUAGAAAAAUAUGCUUAAGCCCUGGUAACUAGGCGACAUCAUCGCUCCUGUCGGGCGCCUGCUGGGAGAAAACCUUAUUUGACAUUUAUUGGGUCAAACAGUCGUUGUUUCUCACAAACCCUACUGAUACGAGUGAACAUGGGCCAAACCGUUUUAAUUUUUUGUUGCCUAUGGACAUGCUUGGUUUGGGAACCUUUUAGAUGGUUCCAGGUCGGUUUUUACCGGUUUGGAUAUCUUCUAGAAGGUUCAUGAAUCCAUUUUCUUGUCUUUUUCUUAUUUUCUUCCUUUUAAAAAACGUGAAGUUCAAACAAAGUUCAAUGUACUUAUUUGUUCAUAUUUUCCAAAAAUGUUUGAAUAUUUCAAAUAAUGGUCUCGUUUCAACAAAGUUAAGAGUUUCAAAAUUGUUUGUGUUUUGAAAAAUUGUUUGGAAUUUCAUUUUUUCUCAAUUUUCAUAAUUGUUUAGAGUUUCAAAAUUUGUUCCACUUUUCGAAGAAAAUUGUUUGCAUUUGUUUCAUGUUUAAAAAAAGUCGCAUUCAAAAUUCUGAACAAUAUUCAAAUUUGUUAUGUUCAAUUUUGUUUCGCAUUAAAAUAAUUCACAUUUAAAAUUCCUUAAACCUUUAAAUCUGUGGCUGUUCAUACUACCUCCGUUUGGGAUUUGAAGGCCAGCUAGCCGAAGUGUCAGUACCAAGAAAUUCACAAUGGUUAAUUUAUAGCAUUGGGUAGAGCUGUAAUUUUGGGAGGCAGUUAAUGCCAAUGGCUCAAGAAACGAUUGCCUUGUGUGCAUUGGCUCAUCUUUUUUUUGAGUGGAUGCAUUGGCGGCAAGCACGUCCUACGCGUUGAACAAUAGUGAAGCCAAGAUCAUGCACAUGACAAGCAUGGUUCUGAAAGCCAUGGAACGAACUGAUGAAUGCAGUGCCAAAACAAGUGCCUGCACAUGCACAUUUUACAUCCUACUGUGAUGUUGUGUAGCAGCCUAGUAGGAGCAGGUAAGUAUGUAGUGUAGACCGGUCGGACCCAGCUAGCGAACCGUCGCACGCGAAAAUGAUAGAAAUGUUGUCAAAUUUGUCCAUUGAAAAAUGAGAAUGCUUGGGUUGGUCGCCUCCAGCUUCAGAUCGUGCAAAGUGUAUCACUUCAGCUAAUUGUUCCAGCAGAUUGUGCAAAGUUUGUCAAAUCAGCUAAUUGUUCCAGCAAGUCUUUCAAAGUCAGGGUUCCAGUUCCACCAUUGUCUGUCUACUAUCGCCAGACCAAUAGGAGGUUUGGUUAUUCCAAGAAUUGAAGGUAACACACCUCAGGCAUGCAUUGUUUUCUUUUACAGCAAGGCACCUUAGUCAGACAUCGUCGAUGCCGAAAAUUAAUUUGGGCUCCCAAACAGCAGGAAGAAAAUGAUUUAACAACAUUAAGAAGCAUCAGGGGCGGUGGUACAAAGACAAAGUCCAAGCCAAUUGUACAAAAUCCAUCGGAUCAGCAAUGCGUGUGAGUCAAUGUUAGACUAAGUAUAUAUUAGAUAUACAUGUUGUAACACAACUUGUAUUUGUACGGUUCCCUCUUAUAAAUAUAUGACAGCCGUACCCAUCAAGGGUAUCAAGCAUUGUUUCAAACCCUAAUACGUCUAACAUGGUAUCAGACGACGCGUUCGAUCCGCGUCACGCUNNNNNNNNNNNNNNNNNNNNNNNNNNNNNNNNNNNNNNNNNNNNNNNNNNNNNNNNNNNNNNNNNNNNNNNNNNNNNNNNNNNNNNNNNNNNNNNNNNNNNNNNNNNNNNNNNNNNNNNNNNNNNNNNNNNNNNNNNNNNNCUCCACUCUGGCGAUGGAGUCGCCGUUCCUGGCGUCGCCUUCACUUGCCUGGGCCCGAUCUACUGCGUCGGGAUCACAUCCUCCCGCGCCACAUCGAUCGCCCGCCAUGUUGCCGCCGCCUCGGUCGCGUGCUGCGCCUCCGAUCGCGGCCACCCCGAUCUAGUCGCGGGGCACGCCUCCACCACCGGCCUCCUACGGCGCCAAUGGGCAAGCGGCCUACGGUGGUCUUCCAGCCCUGGCCCCGUACCACGAUGCGGCCAGGCCGGCCCCGUACCACGAUGCACCCCUUGCCUCGGGGCCCUAUGGCGCUCCCAUCCAGGCGCCGUAUGGCGGCCCGUACCCGGCGCCCUACCUCGCGCCGUCGGUUGCAUCGUAUGCGCCGUAUUCUGCUACAGCCCCGACGUCCUACGCUGCUGCCUAGCCGUACACCGCUCCUCCUGCGCUCCCAUAUGGUGCGCACUCCUCGGCGGCUUACGGCCAUCAUCAACAACCAUCAGCCGAGGCACUAGUCCCGUAUAGUGCUGUUCUGCUGCCUGGUCCGCCGCCUGAUCUGCCGCUCUCCGCGCCGAUGGCCGAACCAGGGCCGUUUCACUUCGCCCAUCUGGUGACGGUGAAGCUUUAUGCUGAUAACUAUCUCCUGUGGCGCGCUCAAGUGUUGCCGCUGAUGCGGAGCCACUACCUUGAAGGAUAUGUUGAUGGCUCCCUGCCGUGCCCUCCGGCUAUGGUUCCGGUGCCCUCGUCCCAUGGUGGCUCUGUCAUGGUCCCCAACCCUGCUCAUCGUCGGUGGACUUUUCAAGAUCAAGCCAUCAUGGGUGCUAUUCAGUCAGUGCUCACUCCAUCCGUGGCUGGCAUGGUUGUCUUUGCCGCCACGUCGAGGGAUGCAUGGGCCACGCUUGACUCCAGCUUCUCCUCACAGUCGCUCGCAUGUUCGUCUGCUAUACGCAAUCAGCUGGGUGAGGUCAAGAAGAAUGAUCUCUCUGUCACUGCUUUCUUCAACAAAGUCAAAAGCUUGGCCGAUACACUGUCCUCCAUUGGGAAGCCGCUCCGUGAUGAGGAGUUUACUUCAUUCAUUCAAAAUGGACUGGACGAGGAUUAUGACUCUCUGGUUGAAAAUGUCAACGGGCGUGACACGCCGAUGCCACCCCGUGACCUCUACGCCCGCCUCCUUAACACGGAACAGCGGCUCGCUGCUCGUCGCUCUGUCGGAGUCUACACGGAGGGCCCUUCUGCGAAUGCUGCUCUUCGCGGAGGUGCCCGUGGUGCCAAGCAGAAGCCACCACCGCCCUCGGGCAACCAGCCUCGUCCGCCCGCUCCCGCUCCUCCAACGGCUGGUUGCAAGCGACUUCACUGCGAGGCGUGUGGUGGUGGUGUCGAGUGUCAGCUUUGCGGUAUUGAGGGGCACUUGGCAUCUCGGUGUCAUCGUCGGUUUAAAUGUGAUUUCCUUGGCAUCGGGAACAAUGGGAAGGGCAACGAGAAGCAAGUUGCUCUUGCCACACAGGAGCCCGGGUUCACUCCUUCAUACUCUGUGAAUCCUGCCUGGUACGUGGACAUAGGCGCCACGAACCACUUGACGAGCCAACUUGACAAGUUGGCCACUCGACAACCCUACACCGGUCAUGAUUAGGUUCGCACUGCCAAUGGAUCAGGUAUGCCCAUCUCACAUAUUGAUCACGUAUGCCCAUAUCACAUAUUGGUCAGGCAUCUCUUCUUUCUCGUACCACUAAAACCUUGCGUCUCCUUGAUGUCCUUCGUGUUCCUUCAGUCACACGUAGUUUACUCUCGGUUCCUAAAUUAACUCUUGACAACAAUGUGUUUGUUGAGUUUCACCCUUUCCAUUUUUUUGUUAAGGAUCGGGACACGAGGGACGUUCUUCUUAGUGGUCGAGCACGCGACGACUUAUAUGCGCUUGAUGUGCCACGAGUGCCUGAUGUGCCACGAGUAUCUCAGGUGUUCAGUGGUGUGCGGGUGUCGUCGUCGCAGUGGCAUUCUCGCCUUGGCCACCCUGCCACUCCCAUUGUGCGCCAUGUGCUUCAUCGUCAUCGUCUUCCCGUUGAGUCCAGUAAUAAGGAGUUUCUAGUUUGCGAUGCCUGCCAACAAGGCAAGAGUCAUUAGUUGUCCUUUUCUGUAUCAAGUCAUGUUGUCAAGGCUCCUCUUGAACUUGUGUUUUCCGAUGUGUGGGGCUAUGCCCAAACCUCUGUUAGUGGGCACAACUAUUAUGUCAGUUUCAUAGAUGCUUUCAGUCGCUUUACUUGGCUUUAUCUUAUUAAGCGCAAAUCUGAUGUGUUUCAUGUUUUCAUGCAAUUCCAAGCACAUGUUGAACGGUUACUCAAGCACAAAAUUAUUCAUGUUCAGUCUGAUUGGGGAGGUGAAUACCGUAAUCUUAACACCUUCUUUCAGAAGCUUGAUAUCUCAAAUCAUGUGUCUUGUCGUCAUACACAUCAGCAGAACGGUGUAGCUGAGCGUAAGCACCGUCAUAUAGUUGAAACUGGGCUAACACUUCUUGCAUAUGCCUCUGUCCCGUUUCGGUUCUGGAGCGAUGCCUUUGUUACUGCUUGUUUUUUGAUAAACAGGAUUCCCACACGACUUCUUCACAUGAAGUCCCCUCUAGAAGUGUUGCUUCAUGAAACUCCAGAUUACUCCUUUUUCAAAGUGUUCGGUUGUGCGUGUUGGCCACAUCUUCGCCCGUACAAUAAGCAUAAACUUGAGUAUCGGUCAAAAAAAUGCGUGUUCCUCGGAUACAGUCCUCUCCACAAAGGUUACAAGUGUCUCCAUGUUCCAUCAAACCGUGUUUACAUUUCCCGUGAUGUUGUGUUUUGUCGGAGUAAUGGGCCACGGGUAGGCUAACCCGAGCCCCAGAACCUUUCAAAACAUCGGGGCAGACUGCGCCCCUCAAGACCCCAUGAUAAAGAGCCGCUUCCCGGGAGUCGGCGACAACUGCCCCUCACGGCCGAGUUCCAGGGACGACUUCGAGUUAAGCCGACUCUUAGCAGACGACUUCGAGAUAAGCUGACUCUUAGCUGACGACUUCAAGAUAAGCCGACUAUGGGAGUCGGCCCGCGACCCCAACCACCACUGCCUUCGCCACGAUGGACGGGGCAGGGUACGGUCACUGCGUGGCCGUCCCUGCCCCGCUUACGAAGGGCUGGCAUGGCUACAGUGCACCAUAUCGCUGGAGAUCACCAUCGUGGCGCGGCACUGUUGCCAUGCCCGCCCUGACCUCAGCCCCCGUGGGCGGCGCACUGUGCCCACGACGGCUUACCUGUACGGCCCCGAGACGGUAGGACCCGCCCGUCAGCGGGGGUACAGAAGACGGAGAGAGCGCCACAAAGACGGACCCGUGGGAGUCGGCCCCCUGGAGUCGGCGGGCCCUCCCACGGGCCCCGCACGCCAUUAACUAGACAAGAUGGGGAAUGGCGACAAUGAUCGUCCGCCAAGCGGCGGCACUGUUGCCACGACCCCAUGACCAAGCCCGCGUCAUUGGAAGCACGGCUACAGUACCAGGCCUAUCGGUGGGGCCCACCAGUCGGCGGGCCCCAGCAGUCGGCGGAGAAGACGGCGGCCUGAGAGACAGACGGCUGGGACCCACGCCCAGCCGGAUUACCAUUGUAUCCCUGGGGGCAGGCCUAUAUAAGCCCCCCGGGGCACCCAUGCAAGGGGGAUAGCUUCUUUAGCAUUAGACCCGAUCAUAUAGGAAGGAGGGAGCUAGCCUUGCCCUCUCCUACCUCCAGGAAACAGCUCUAGUAGCAACCCUGUAUUCACUUUGCCAUAGUGAUCAUGCGGAGCCCCCGCAGAGUAGUAGUAGGGGUGUUAUCUUCUCGGAGAGCCCUGAAGCUGGGUAAGAUCCGCCGGCGUGCAUGUCUUCGCCUCAUCCCGUUUCCAGGCACCGGCGAUGUUCUACUCGCUCCCACCAUGAUAAGCCAUCCUUUGGCAUAUGUCGCACCCAACCCCCGACAUUUGGCGCCCACCGUGGGGCGAGGUGCACCGUCGUCCGGAGACCUACUCUGGACGGGAACCCUACUGGCGAGCGCAGCCAGCCCGGCAUGCCAGACAGAGUCUGCACUGACGCGCUGCACGACGCUGAGAUCGCCUGCGCGGCCAGCUGCCUCGCCGAACGUGUCGGUGAGGUUCGCCUCUCCGACGAGCCUGCAUCCGACGCAGGCACGAGCGGACCCGAGAGCCUCCUCGCAGGCCUCCUCGACCAACUCCAUGUCGCCGGCGAGCCCGCCGUGGACCUGGAGUCCAUAGGCUCCACUGACCCGAUGCUGGUCGACUCUGACACCGCGUCGCUCGACGCAUUCCCCACCAACGUGGUGGUCUACGACGAGCCGCUCCCUUGCGUGGAGAGCGGCGGAAGCACCGUCAUGGAGGUUCUCAUCCUCGAUCACGGCGAGCGUUCCAGCGAAGGAGCUCAUGAUCCACUCGACGCGGCUCUGCAAGACCUGACCGCGCCCAUUCCGCGAGACGUUAACGCCGAGACGCUGGAGGCGCGCCGCCUUCAGCUCGUCGAAGGCGCGAAGAAGCUGGCAAGCAUGAGACGCUUGUCAGAAGCCUACCAGCGUGAGAUGGAUCGCGCUGUGGGCGGCUCACCGGCCCCGACUGGGCCUAGCCGCCUUGGCACGGUCCGGCAGCAUGGCGCGGCCAUCGCCAACCUUUUCGGGGCCAAUCGCUCUGUGUACGCCACACCUACGGAGAACAUCUGCGCCGCCCAGGCGGCGGCGGACGAGCUAGAUAACUUCGAGGGCGAAGAGCGCCGCUUGAUGAUGGAGCGAGUCCAGCAGCUCCUCGACGCGGCUGCCGCGCAGAACGAAGCCGGCUGCCGCACAGAGGCGCCGCAACGACAAAACGACGACUUGCCUCCCCGCCGAGAUCAAGGCGCGACAUCUCGGACACCAACCGGCGGUGUCCGCGGAAGGAAAGACAAGGAUCCGGCUGUCAGCCAUAGUCGGACUCGCAUCACCAUCGAGCGCGACCAAGACGGCCGCCCCAAAGCAGUAGAACAGCGGGACGACUAUCUGCCUCCUCCUCCUCGCAAAGAAAGGCGAGUCUCCCCGCCGCCCGUCAAGCAUCCAACUCUCGGCGACCGCCUUGGCCGCCGAGAGGGAGUCGGAGAAAAUGACGCCCGCCACCGGAUCGACCGAUUGCACUGAUCCCUGGCGCUGGAAGAAGAAGACGAGUUGGGUCCGCCUUGUUUCGGACCUCGCAUCCGAGACGAGACCUUUCCCAAAGGGUUCACGCUCCCCCGAGAUACGCCCAAGUACACCGGCUCUGUGAAGCCGGAAGACUGGCUAGUUGACUACUCCACGGCCGUCAACAUAGCAAACGGCAACAAGCGUGUUGCCGUAAAGUACGUUCCACUCAUGCUCCAGGGCACGGCCCGGACAUGGUUGAACAGCCUGAAGCCCUGCAGCAUCAACAGCUGGGUCGACUUCACUGAAGCCUUCGUCCGCAACUUCACGAGCACGUACAAGCGACCUCCCAAGCCUCGCCAACUCUCCUUGUGCGUGCAAGGCCCCCACGAGUCGACUCACGACUACCUCACGCGCUAGGCUGAGCUUCGGAACUCCUGCGAGGGCGUGCACGAGGUGCAGGCUAUCAAGUACUUCACUGCCGGGUGCAGAGAAGGCACCCUCCUAAAGCACAAGCUCCUCUGCGAUGAGCCGGAGACCCUCGACGAGCUGCUGAUCAUAGCAGACAAAUACGCCACGGCCGACUCCUCCAUGAAGGUGGAGAUUCAAGUUAGCGCAACUGACAAAGUCGCCCCUCAAGCUCCCAGAACUCCGGCUGGGGACGCCAGUCCGAGACAAUAGUAGAACGACCACAAGCGCAAAGCCCCACAGCCGGCUUCCAGCAGCUGGCAAGUUGCGACAGUCGAAGAGCAACAGCCGGAGGAGCAGCCUCCGUCCAAGCGACAGAAAGGCGGCAAGUCCAACUGGUUGCCGGUCUUCUCCUACAAGCAGACCCUAGAUGGCCCCUGCAAGUUCCACAGCGGCGCGAAGCCGUCGAACCACACCACCCGGAAAUGCCACUGGCUCACCAGAAUCACCAAGGGAGACGGCCUCCUACCUCCCCCGCCUGCUGGGCCGCCGCCUCCACCGCCGCCCCAGCAGCCGGCUGUCGGGCCAGUCGGCGCAAUACAAGAUGAGUACCCAGAAGAGCACGGAGCCUAUGUGGUGUUCACCAGUGUGGCUGACGAUCAACGCAGCAGGCGGCUGCAGCAGCAAGAGGUGAACGCAGUCGCGUCGAGCACUCCAGAGUUCAUGCACUAGUCCGAGAGGCGUAUCAGUUGGAGCAGAGCUGAUCACCUAGAGGUGAUGCCGAGUCCAGGAUCCUAUGCCCUGGUCCUAGGUGCCACCCUUGCCACGGAUAGGCGGGCCGCUCGCUUCUCGCGAGUGCUGAUAGACGGAGGCAGUAACAUCAAUAUCCUGUACAAGGACACCAUGGAGAAGUUAGGAAUCAAGCAAAGACAGCUUCAGAGCAGCCGAACUGUGUUCCACGGCAUCGUUCCUGGCCUUUCCUGCUCGCCAAUCGACAAGAUCCUGAUAGACGUCCUCUUUGGGGACAAAGAUCAUUUCUGCCGAGAGCCAGUUUGGUUUGAAGUGGUGGACCUCGAAAGCCCGUACCAUGCGUUGCUUGGCCGACCUGCCUUGGCCAAGUUCAUGGCGGUCCCCCACUACGCCUACCUCAAGAUGAAGAUGCCGAGUUCCAAGGGGAUUCUAACCGUAGUCGGCGACUACAGAAAGUCGUCCGCUUGCGCGGCCGAAAGCAGUCGGCUGGCCGAGUCCUUGGUGAUCGCGGCUAAGAAGUGGCUUCUCGAUCGGGUUGUGGCGAUGGCCGGCAAGCAGCCCGAGAUGUAGCCCGACUCCAAGGAGUCGGAAGCUGAAGGUUCGUUCAAGCCAGCCAAAGAAACAAAGAAGAUACCCUUGGACCCGGAGCACCCAGAGAGGUACGCUGUCAUAGGUGCAAACCUUGACAACAAAUAGGAAGGCGAGCUCGUCAAUUUCCUCCGUGAGAAUCGAGACAUCUUUGCAUAGUCCCUUAAAGACAUGCCAGGUGUACCGACGGAAUUCGCCGAGCACAAGUUACAUGUCCAGUCUGAUGUGAAGCCCGUCAGGCAGCCCUUGCACCGCCUGUCAGAAGAGAAGAGAAGAGUUGUUGGAGAAGAGAUAGCCCGGCUCCUGGCAGCCGGCUUCAUUAUGGAAGUAUUUUUCCCAGAGUGGCUAGCAAACCCGGUCCUGGUGCUGAAGAAGAACAAGCAGUGGCGGAUGUGUAUCGACUACACAAGCCUCAACAAAGCUUGCCCCAAGGACCCGUUCGCUCUGCCGAGAAUUGAUCGGGUGAUAGACUCCACAGCCGAAUGCGAGCUGUUGAGUUUCUUAGAUGCAUAUUCUGGAUAUCACCAUAUCAAGCUGAACCCGGCUGACAGACUGAAGACCGCCUUCAUCACGCCGUUUGGAGCCUUCUGCUACCUGACCAUGAUGUUCGGCUUGAGGAAUGCCGGCGCCACCUUUCAGCAUUGCAUGCAGAAGUGCCUCCUCAAGCAACUCGGCAGAAAUGCCCACGUCUACGUGGACGAUGUGGUGGUGAAGACGGAGAAGCGCGGAACAUUGCUGAAAGACCUCAAGGAAACCUUUGAGAACCUGCGCCGAUUCCAGAUCAAGCUCAACCCUGAGAAGUGCGUCUUCGGAGUACCAGCCGGCCAACUCCUUGGCUUCUUGGUCUCUGAACGCGGCAUAGAGUGCAACCCCGUAAAGAUCAAGGCCAUCGAGAGGAUGGAGGUACCCCACCGACUGCUAGAUGUGCAAAAGUUCACCGGCUGCUUGGCGUCCAUCAGCCGUUUCAUCAGUCGGCUGGGUGAGAAGGCUCUCCCUUUAUACCAGCUCAUGAAGAAGACAACCUUUUUCGAGUGGAACCCCAAGGUGGACGAAGCUUUUCUCCAAUUAAAGAAAAUGCUGACUACUCCCCCUGUGCUGGUGGCUCCGACUCCUAAAGAGCCCAUGCUCCUAUACAUUGCCGCCACUAGCCGGGUAGUCAGCACAGUUAUUAUAGUUGAGCGCAAGGAGGAAGGCAAGGCGCUACCUGUCCAGAGACUGGUAUAUUACCUGAGCGAAGUACUGUCGGCCUCCAAGCAGAACUACCCCCACUACCAGAAGAUGUGCUACAGCGUGCACUUUGCCGCCAAGAAAUUGAAGCCUUACUUCCAGGAGCAUCCAAUCACUGUGGUUUGCACAGCCCCACUUGCUGAGAUCAUCGGAAGCCAAGAUGCUUCUGGCCGAGUGGCCAAAUGGGCCAUCGAUCUGGCUCCCUACACCAUCUACUACCAGCCCCGCACCGCCAUCAAGUCGCAAGCAUUGGCCGACUUCCUCGUCGUCUGGGCCGAGACCCAGUACCUGCCGCCAGCGCCCGACUCCACCCAUUGGCGGAUGCACUUCAACGGCUCCAAGAUGCGCACUGGCUUGGGAGCCGGCGUUGUCCUCACUUCCCCCAAGGGAGACAAGCUAAUAUAUGCGCUGCAGAUCCACUUCGCCGCCUCCAACAACGUCACUGAGUACGAGGCGCUCAUUCACGGGCUCCGGCUUGCCAAAGAGCUUGGCAUUCGCCGGAUCCUGUGUUAUGGCGACUCCGACUUAGUGGUCCAGCAGUCAUCUGGCGAUUGGGACGCCAAGGAUGCAAACAUGGCGAGCUACCGUUUCCUUGUGCAGCAACUCAGCAGAUACUUCGAGGGGUGCGAGUUCCUCCACGUGCCAAGGAAUGACAACGACCAAGCAGACGCCCUGGCACGAAUCGGCUCCACCCGCCAAGCAAUACCAUCUGGCGUCGCCCUUCGGCGCCUCCUCAAGCCAUCUAUCAAGCCUUCACAGGAAUCAGACUCCAUUUUCGUGCCAGCUCCCCCCGAAGAAGUCGGAUCCGACUCAAGAGCCCCAGCAGACGGCACGAAAAUUCUUACAGACAGCUCCAAGCACACCGUAGUCGAAGCCGGCUCGGGGACUUCAGAACCCGGCCCGGGGACUGUGGCGACCAGUUCGAAGACUCUAGAACUCGGCCCGGGGACUGCUCCAGUCGGCCCGGGGACUUUGUCAAUCCAGCAAGCGGCCGCAGACUCCAACCCGCCGCCUCCCAGCCCAGCCGCCCUCGUCCAAAUUGCAGUACUGGCAGUUGAAGAAAUAGCAGCACCCUCAUGGGCCCAGCCCAUCCUCAAGUUCCCGGUGAGCAAAGAACUGCCAAUUGAUGAAAUCUUGGCUCGGCAAGUACAACGCCGAGCAGCAGCCUACACCAUAGUCAACAGAGAGUUGGUCAGGCACAUCGUCACUGGUGUCUACCAGCGUUGCAUCGAGCCAGAGCAAGGCCAAGCAAUUCUCAGAGACAUCCAUGAAGGCGAGUGCGGCCACCAUGCGGCUUCAAGAGCACUCAUCACCAAAGCCUUCCAGCACGGUUUCUUCUGGCCAACUGCCCUAGAAGAGGCCAAAGAAUUAGUCCAAAAGUGCAAAGGGUGCCAGAUGUUCCGCUCCAAGCCACAUCAGCCGGCUUCCGCACUCAAGACUAUCCCCAUCGCCUGGCCCUUUGCGGUUUGGGGCCUGGACAUGGUGGGACCAUUCAAAACAGCACGAGGCGGCUUAACUCACUUACUUGUCGCGGUGGACAAGUUCACCAAGUGGAUAGAAGUAAAGCCCAUCAAGAAGUUGAAUGGUCCGACUGCAGUGACUUUCAUUGCCGACAUCACGACCCGGUACGGCAUACCGCACAACAUCAUCAUCGACAAUGGCACAAAUUUUGCCAAAGGUGCCUUGGCCCGUUUCUGCACGACUCAGGGCAUCCGACUGGACUUAGUGUCCGUUGCCCAUCUGCAGUCAAACGGCCAGGUAGAACGAGAAAACGGCCUCAUCCUAUCUGGCAUCAAGCCUCGACUGGUCGAACCACUGGAGCGUUCGGCCGGCUGUUGGCUUGACGAGUUGCCAGCCAUCCUCUAGAGUCUGCGCAUGACUCCAAACAAGUCAACCGGCUUCACACCCUUCUUCCUCGUCUACGGCGCUGAAGCCGUCAUCCCGACGGACAUAGAGUUCGACUCUCCGCGAGUCACCAUGUACACCGAGGAAGAAGCAGAAGAAGCACGUCAAGACGGUGUCGAUCUGCUGGAAGAGGGCGGCUGUUGGCACUCAGCCGGUCCAGCAUCUACCAGCAGAGCCUGCGCCGAUACUACAACAGGAAGGUCAGGCCGAGAUCUUUCCAAGAGGGCGACCUUGUGCUCCGGCUGAUCCAGCGAAUAGCCGGCCAGCACAAGCUGUCGGCGCCUUGGGAAGGUCCCUUCAUUAUCAACAAGGUGCUGGGAAAUGACUCCUACUACCUGAUCGACGCUCAGAAGCCCCGAGCACGCAAGAGGGACGACUCCGGCAAAGAGACAGAAUGCUCGUGGAAUGCAAAUCUUCUCCGAAGAUUUUAAAGUUGAUGCAGUAUGUAUCGCACUACCCUUUGUAUUAAAGUACCAAGACUUCGGGCCCCCCGAGACGAGCUCGGGGACUGCCCUUUUUGUUAUCUGUAUGAUAAGAAUUAUGCCUUUGAGUAUACUACUCUUUGUUAUGUCGCUUGGCACCGGGCUCGACUAGUCGGCCCGGGGACUCACCGCCUUACGCUAUGAAAUGCUUCCUGCAGUCGGACAAGUAGUGCAUGGAGCCUAAGCCGUCUCCUGUCAGAAGCCGCAGCUCGCAGAGCGACUGAUUGGUGGACAGGAGUAAGGAAGAAUGGGCGUCCGCACGAAAAAUGGCUAAGGACUCAAAGCAUAAACAUAGCUUAAGCCGGCUUCCUGCCUCUCUUAGCAGAGCCGACUCUUUAAUAGUCGGCCUGCCGCUUUCUAUCCAACUUGUUAAAAGACUCUAAAAAUGGACAAGUACUUGCCUUCCCAAAAUAGCCAAGCAUUUGAUCCAGAGGCGGUCCGCAGAGCGACCGUCUGACUGACAAGGCGACGAUUAAGGGAAGGCGGCAAAGGAAAAAGCCAAAGGAGCAAUGAGCAAGGAAAGAUAGAACUCGGAUAAAUAUUUACAUAGGCCCUUGGCCGAAUCUUCAAGCAGAAGUUCAAAAUACACCCCGCGGGUGGAAUUGUUCGAAUUAACAAGUUCUUCAAAGACUACUAGAACAGAUAAAAUGAAGGCAAGACGGUAGCCUAGGAAGCGGCAGACGGGUUCAGAGGGUCGGAAGAGACGGCGGUGUCAGGCGCCGGGGCGGCCGGCUGGACGGUCUCGGCUUGGUCGGGAGCGGCUCGUUGCAGGAGGCACGGUCGAGCUGAGGUUGGUUGCCGAUUCCACCUUCUGGCGCCUCCGUCCUCCGCCUCGCCUUCCUCCUCGGUGCUGGAACCGAUCACCUCCGCCGAGUCCUCAUCGUAAUCCAGGUUCAUCCCGAACCACUCCGGUGGCGCCUCCCUGCCGUCUUCAGCUCGAUCAGGGACGAAGAUGCUGGUGUCGGCAUAGUCAGCGAUCGCCGCGGCACGAGCGACAAGGGCGUCUUCCACAGCUACCAGCUCUGCCUGGGCCUCUAACCGGAACGCGGCCAGACGGUCCAGGUCCAGCCCUGGAUACCACGCCUUGACGAAUUCCAGGGCCCGUCGCGCUCCAGCCCGGGCCGAGGAACCCUUCCAAGCCUCAAGACGACCAGCUGCGACCUCCAGCCAGUCGGCAGUCUGACUGGCAGUGCGCAGAACCGGCAUGUCUGGCCACAUGGCGGCAAUGGCCUGGGCGCCGGCACGUUGAAGCCGGCGCAACAUCCGAUUGGCCGGCCGCAGACGAGCCUCAAUGCUCAGAAGCUGCUCGUCGAGGGUCCGGGGGGCAUUGGCGGCAAUCUCCACACCAUCUGCCCUCCGCGCCUCGCGAUCAGCCUCGAUGGCUUGAGUAGCCGCUUGCGAGUGGCCAGGGAAGAAGUCUGCCAAGACAAAAAAGAAGCAAGUCAAAAUCAGGAGUCAGCCGACCCACAGUCGGCGACUCAAAGGAAACCAAGAAACUCACCGUUGACGAUGUCCUUGAUCUCAUGGAAGCCGGAGGUCAGCUGUGCCUCCUUGUCGGUCUAGGAGGAGCGCUCGCUUUCAAACUCGGCCAGGAGAGCUGUCUCUCUCUUCUUUGCCUCGUCCUGCGUCUUCUUGAGCAGCUCCCUCUGCUCCGCCAGCUGCGCGGCCAGCAGGUCGCGCUCCGCGGCAAGUUUGCUGCACUCCUCCCCCUUGGCAUGCAAGGUGGUGUUGACCUUGCCCAGCUGCUGGUGAAGAGUGGCAUUGGCCUCUGAAGAAUAAAAAGGAAAAGACGUUAAGUCGUCAACAAAGAAGGUCGCCGGGAAGAUCCGGCCCGACUGCUCAGCAGUCGGCCCGAAUCUCGGGGACUACAGCCCGCGGGUGCGCCAGCGCGCCCCCGCGAAGAAGAAGGAGGACUCACUCCGACUCUCCGACAAGUCGGCAGUCCGCCUGCCCAGCUCCUCGAUGUUGCGGUUGAAGGCAGUGACGCGGAGGUUGUGAUACUCCUGUGAUAAGAAUUUUUAGACAAAGAUAAGUAUUGGAACUCUCCAGAAGGAGUUCCGGACCGCCUGCUCACCAGCCGGCCCGAAACUCAGGGACUACACCCAGUGGGUGCGCUGGCACGCCCCCACAGAGAAGAACAAGGAAAAAACAAAGUCAAAAAAGAAAGCAUACCCGGACGGCUACUCGCGACGCCAGAUGCGCCUUGGUGCAGGCCUGGAUGGCGUCGCCCUCGGCUCGCAGCUUCGCCUGAACAUCCAGAAGCGCCUGGUUCAGCGGGCCCGUGCCGCCUCCUCGCACCCACCCAACGGGCGCGGCACUCGUCGCCUCGGCGUCUGGGAGGGCCGAGCUGGCGGUGCCGGUCUCCAGGGGGCGUGGCGCCGAAGUCGCCCUCUCAAGGCGGCGGCGCGUUGGCGAGGUGACUUGGAGGAGCAGCCUCGCCACGGACUCGUCCUCAGUUAGCGGCACCGAAGGGCCUGCCGGCUGUUUACCCUGCACGCUCCCGGACGGCAGCGGAGGCAGCGGUGGCGGCACGGCCGUGUCCGACAUGGAGGCCUCACCGCUCUCCCUCUCCAUGACGGGGUUCUCGCCGCCGGCUUCCCCAGUCUGCCCCGUGAACUCCGGGGGCGGCGGCGUGGAGUUCAGCGGAACGACAAGCAGCCCCGAUUGGCGGUGCACGACCUCCUCUGCUUGCCGCCUUGCCGCAACGGUGGCUUCGGCCUCAUCCAGCUUCCUCUGGGCAGAGGCUGCCGCCUUCUCGGCCUCUGCCUUCUCCAGACGGGCGGCCUCGUCCUCAUCGCGCUUCUCCCGCAUGUUCCGCUCCAUCGCCUCCCAGAGGUCGGUGGCGGGGUCAAUCCGCCGAGUAGUGGCGGACGUCUCUGCCGACCCCAUGACGGAGGCGGCGGCGACCCUCUCAAAAGUAAGGGGAUCCCUGAAGCGAUAAAGGCAUGUAGAUGAUUUGGGCAAAAUUCACUAGUAAAAGACAAGACAAAGGCGGAGGCGCUUACGCAGAAACCAGUGGAGGCUUCUUCACUUCCUUACGGAAGCGGUUGGCUUUCGCGAUCGCCUCUUCCCGCUUGGUCACGGCGGCCGCCCCCUUGAACUUCUUCGACCGGCCGCCAAGCAAGCUCGGCCCGGCCCGGCGCCUCUUCGCGCCGCCUUGACCAUCCAAGCCGGCGGAGGAACUCGCACCCGGCUGGCCAACCCUUGGAUGGCGGCGCGGGACGACUUCCCCCUCGGCGUCGUCAUCAGGCCAGUCGGCAAAGGUGGCCGACGGCCUGAAGUCUCCUCCUCCUCCUCCUCCACCUCUUUCGGUGUCGGCCUCCAUCGCCGCCGCCCCCAAGUCAGGGUCGUCGACGUCGCUCUCUGCCCGGUCGGAGACGAACUGACAGGCCGGGCCCGUGGUGCCGGCUGAGGGCUGGAUGAGGGAGUUCUGACUCAAGAAAAAACCAAAAAGAUCAGAAGUCGGAUUCGGCUGCAAAAGAAGACAGAAGAAAAAUAAAGACAACUUACAGCAGGCGGGGGGUUGGCGCGCGAGUACGGCUCCUUGCCGAACCGCCAAUCCGCCGUGAGACUGCAGUUCGCGAUGUAGUUCACCGUGUCCACCACCUCCACAUGGGGCAUGUCCUUGAAGCACAUCUGACUCGGGUCCCGGUGGCCGCUCAUCUGACAGAUUAGAUGAGGUCGGCCUUGGAGCGGGAGGACUCGGCGCGCCACGAAGGCGGCCAGCAGGUCGGCCCCAGUCAGACCCUCCGACUGCGUCAGCACUCGGAGUUGCGCAACGGCGGCGGCUCCAGCGGGAGUCAGCAUCUUGACUCGGUGGGACCAGCUGGGGAGCCUCCCAGCCGGAGCACCGGCUUCGUAAGGUGGCAGAUUGACCCAGUCGCCGUCUGGGGCGACGUUCUUCACGUAAAAAUAUGACCACUGCCACAUCUUCACCGACUUGAUCAGCGGAAUGGUGGGGAAUGGGUUGUCGGUCGUCGAUCUCCGCAUUGCGAUGAAGGCACCACACUGGGCCGGCACGCUGACGAUGUGCGUGCCGAGCUUAGACUGGAAGAAAUCCCACCAUAGCUUGAUGGUGGGGAGAACGCCGAGGAAGCCUUCGCACAGGGUGGCGAAGGCAGCCAACAGCACCACCGUGUUCGGGGUGAGGUGGUGCGGCUGGAGCCUGUGGAACUCCAAGAAGGAGCGGAAGAAGCCGCUCGCCGGCAGCCCCAGGCCGCGCAUGAGGUGCGAGCGGAAUACGACCCGCUUGCCCUCCUCCUGCGCCGGUGAUAUUUCCUUCUCCGGCGCGGCACGGGCUCGCACUAGGUCCGCGCCGGGGAGGCGACGCGUCCUGCGGAGGAACUCGAUAUGGUCGUCGUCCACCUCGGAGCCAUCCCACACGCCGGAGCGCACGGCGGGAGGCGCGGCGGCGGAGGAAGAGCUCAUCGCUGCGAGCGUGGCAUGGUUCGGUGUGGCAGCAGCAAGAGGAAGAAGAAGAAAGAAGAAAGCAAGGGGAGUAGGGGAGAUGGGCGCGCGUGCUUUGCCGCCUCCUUCCUCCCGCCUACUUAUAGGUUCAUUGGCUGAGAAGCCGAUGGGGCGGGCGUGGGAUUAACUGUGCCCAGGCCCCCACGCCCCCCACGAUUUACCACAUGAAGUAACUGCGUGCAGUUACAACGUGGCAAACCCAACCGUCCGCACGGCUGCAACAAAUCCGUUCGCGUGCCGAGGCACGGUAGUGGCGGGCCCCGCCUGAGGUCCUGUCCCGUCGCGCGCGUGGGUGGGCAGACUGACGCCGCCAUGUGGCGCCACGUGACGGACCCACAAUGGGCGGCUGCCCAGAAUCUUAUCAGGCACGCUGCCUGGACCCCGCUGCGACAUUCAAACUCUCUAAGAGGCAAGACGGCUUUCUGCGAGUCCGACUCCAGCUAGUCGGCCUGGAGGAAGACGGUGAGCAAGGUCCAGAUUCCACCAGAAGGAAGAAACUAUUGAGACUCCUCGAUAUAUCACCCUCGGCGCCUCACUAGUUUCGGGGACUACUGUCGGAGUAAUGGGCCAUGGGUAGGCUAACCCGAGCCCCAGAACCUUUCAAAACAUCGGGGCAGACUGCGCCCCUCAAGACCCCAUGAUAAAGAGCCGCCUCCUGGGAGUCGGCGGCAACUGCCCCUCACGGCCGAGUCCCAGGGACGACUUCAAGUUAAGCCGACUCUUAGCCGACGACUUCGAGUUAAGCCGACUCUUAGCUGACGACUUCGAGAUAAGCCGACUCUUAGCUGACGACUUCGAGAUAAGCCGACUAUGGGAGUCAGCCCGCGACCCCAACCACCCCUGCCUUCGCCACGAUGGACGGGGUGGGGUACGGUCACUGCGUGGCCGUCCCUGCCCUGCUUACGAAGGGCUAGCAUGGCUACAGUGCGCCUUAUCGUUGGAGAUCUCCGUCGUGGCGCGACACUGUUGCCAUGCCCGCCCUGACCUUAGCCCCCGUGGGCGGCGCACUGUGCCCACGACGGCUUACUUGUACGGCCCCGAGACGGCGGGACCCGCCCGUCAGCAGGGGUACAGAAGACGGCGAGAGCGCCACAAAGACGGACCCAUGGGAGUCGUCCCCCUGGAGUCGGCCGGCCCCUCCCACGGGCCCCGCACGCCAUUAACCAGACAAGACGGGGAAUGGCGACAAUGAUCGUCCGCCAGGCGGCGGCACUGUUGCCACGACCCCAUGACCAAGCCCGCGUCAUUGGAAGCACGGCUACAGUACCAGGCCUGUCGGCGGGUCCCACCAGUCGGCGGGCCCCAGCAGUCGGCGGAGAAGACGACGGCCUGAGAGACAGACGGCUGGGACCCGCGCCCAGCCGGAUUACCAUUGUAUCCCUGGGGGGCAGGCCUAUAUAAGCCCCCCGGGGCAGCCAUGCAAGGGGGAUAGCUUCUUUAGCAUUAGACCCGAUCAUAUAGGAAGGAGGGAGCUAGCCUUGCCCUCUCCUACCUCCAGGAAACAGCUCUAGGAGCAACCCUGUAUUCACUUUGCCAUAGUGAUCAUGCGGAGCCCCCGCAGAGCAGCAGUAGGGGCGUUAUCUCCUCGGAGAGCCCUAAAGCUGGGUAAGAUCCGCCUCGUGCAUGUCUUUGCCUCAUCCCGUUUCCAGGCACCGACGACGUUCUACUCGCUCCCACCAUGAUAAGCCAUCCUUUGGCAUAUGUCGCACCCAACCCCCGACAUGUUUGAUGAGACUGUCUUCCCUUUUUCCACGCUCACGUCGCCCACUGACACUCCUAUCACCGAGUUGCACUUGUUUCUAGUAUUGCCUGAUCAGUUUGUAGAUGCUGCAUACUCUCCUCUGUUGUUGCCUAACCACGGUGCAGGUGCUGGACGAGGUGCCCGACUGGAGCUGCUUGAUGAUGACGGUGCACCACCUACGCCAGCUGUUGCUACGCCGGCUACACCCGCUGAUACGACGGCCUCCGCCGACGUUGAUCACACAUGCAUGCCCCAUGCACGUGGAUCCGCUGGCAUGCCCGCGUCGCCUGGGCUGCCCGCCCCAGUGGCCUUGAUGCCUGGGCUUGCGGUCCCGCAGUCGCCUUGGUCAGCUGACCCUACGGCUCGGUCCCCUGGGCCGGUGGCCUUGCCGAUCAAGGAUGCAUGCAUGUCCCAUGCACGUGGGCUCGCUGAAGCGCCCGUGUCGCCCGGUGCGCUCGUGUCGCCCGGUGCACUCGUGUCGCCUGGUUCCUCGUUGGCACUCACGCCUGGCCAUUCUUCGUCGACAACUCCAGGCCAGGUGCUGCGCUUGACUGUGCCGCCAGACACACUUGUUGACUCACCUGCAGGCGCGUCCUCUUCGCCACUCUUGGACAGUAGCUCUCCUGUGGUGACAGCUCCAUCGCCACCUCCGCCUGUCGUCCUGCGCCCUCAUACUCACAGCAAGAGUGGCAUCUUCCAACCAAAGAAGCGUACUAACGGGACUGUCGCAUGGCUUGCAGCAUGCGUGGCGCAUGCUGAGGCAGAUCCUAUGACUGAACCACGACACUUUCAGGCAGCACUUCGCAUUCCACAUUGGCGUGCUGCUAUGGAGCAAGAGAUCCACGCUCUUCAGCAGAACAACACUUGGCGUCUGGUUUCACCUCCAUCUGGUGUCAAUAUCAUUGAUUUUAAAUGGGUAUUUAAGGUGAAGAAGCAUGCUGAUGGCUCCAUUGAGAGGUAUAAGGCACACCUGGUUGCAAAGGGAUUCAAACAAUGGUAUGGCAUUGAUUACGAAGACACGUUCAGUCCUGUUAUUAAACCAACUACUAUUCGUGUUCUUCUUUCCUUGGCUGUUACUCGAGGAUGGUCGCUUCGACAGCUUGAUGUUCAAAAUGCUUUUCUCCAUGGAGUUCUGGAAGAAGAGGUCUAUAUGCGUCAACCGCCAGGGUUUGUUGAUCCUGAUCAGCCACAUCAUUUGUGUCGUCUUGUCAAGGCUCUCUAUGGGUUGAAGCAGGCCCCUCGUGCAUGGCAUGCACGUCUUGGAGCUGCUCUUCGUGCGCAUGGUUUUGUGCCUUCUACAACGGAUACGUCUCUGUUUAUUCUUCAGCGUCCUGAGGUGACUAUGUAUAUUCUGGUCUACGUUGAUGAUAUCAUUCUUGUCAGUUCAUCUGCUGUUACUACGGACCGGCUUGUGUCCUCUCUUGGUGCUGAGUUUGCUAUUAAGGAUCUUGGGAGACUCCAUUAUUUCCUGGGUUUGGAGGUGCUUCAUUCUGAUGGUGGUUUGGCCCUUUCUCAGAGGAAGUACUCUCAGGAUCUUCUACGUCGUGCUGGUAUGUUGCAGUGCAAGAUUGCCACGACUCCUAUGUCUGCCAUAGACAAGCUGACAGCUCUUGAUGGUGACUUACUCUCUCUUGAGGAUGCUACGGAGUAUCGCAGUAUUGUUGGUGGGCUGCAGUACUUGCUCGUUACUCGACCAAACAUAUCUUUUGCGGUCAACCGUGUGUGCCAGUACCUUCAUGCACCUCGUGGACCUCACUGGUCUGCUGUUAAGCACAUCUUGUGCUAUGUUCGUCACACCGGUUCAUAUGGUCUCUAUCUUCGACCUGCAUCUUCUGGACUGAUCUCAGCCUUUUCUGAUGCCGAUUGGGCUGGUUGUCCUGAUGAUCGGCGAUCCACGGGGGGACAUGUUGUGUUCUUUGGACCUAACUUGAUCGCCUGGCAAGCUCACAAGCAAGCUACAGUGUCCCGGAGUAGUACUGAAGAUGAGUACAAAGCAGUUGCUAAUGCCACAGCUGAGAUCAUAUGGGUGCAGUCAUUACUUCGAGAGUUGAAGGUCUCUCCCACUCAGUCGCCUGUCCUGUGGUGUGACAACAUCGGUGCCACAUAUCUUUCAUCUAAUCCGGUAUUUCAUGCCCGAACGAAGCACAUCGAAGUUGACUAUCAUUUUGUCAAGGAACGCGUUGCAAAGAAGCUUCUUCAGAUCAAGUUUGUUUCUUCUAAGGAUCAACUUGCUGAUAUCUUCACUAAACCUUUGCCCUUGCCUUCUUUUGAAGGAUGUCGACACAAUAUUAACCUUCUGAGUAUUUCUAAGAUUGAGGGAGGGUGUUAGACUAAGUAUAUAUUAGAUAUACGUGUUGUAACACAACUUGUAUUUGUAUGGUUCCCUCUUAUAAAUAUAUGACAGCCGUACCCACCAAGGGUAUCGAGCAUUGUUCCAAACCCUAAUACGUCUAACAGUCAACUACUUCUACUUAAUUAUAGAUCCUUCAAUCCUCAGGCGUGAUAGACUGCUAGUGCAUCUCGCUCAGGAUCUCGUUUGCCGCACUGGUGUAAUCUGUGUUGAAUACUCCCUCCAUAUAAAAAUAUAAGAUGUUUUUGACACUGUCACAGUGUAAAAAAGGUCUUAUAUAUUUUCAUACGGAGGGAGUACUAGGUGAACUCCGAACUUAAUGAGAACGAACAAUAGCAUGGUUCUUUCGAAGUAUUUUGUAAGUAUUCCUUCCCAUCCUAUACUAGGUGAACUAGUCAAAUUUGUUUCUCUAGGGGAAAACUAGUCAAAUUUUGUUUGUUGAUGCCGAAAGCUAAAUGGUACUCUGAACAUUCAGAAGAACAAAAUUAAACAAUAGUAAAAAAUAUACACAAUUAUGACUACGAAGUAUCUAUGGUGAUGCAAAUUAUAAGCCAAUUAUGCAAAUUGCAUCAGAUAAGCAAUGCGCGUGAGUCGCCUACCUCUACUUAAUUGCACAUCCUUCUGAUCCUCAGGUGCAACAAAUCGCUAACACAUUGUGUUCAUGAUCUUGUUUGGCCCAAUCAUGUGGUAUGUGUUUAAAGUUCUAUUUGUUAUUGGUGAACAAAUAUGCAAGUGGUUUUCCCCGGCUUCUGUUCGUUCUCCUAUGGCAUGCUUGGAUUGUAUGUGGAUGUUGAUCUAGGGUUGACAAAAUCCAGGGCAUCGACAUACCACCAUAUACAACGAUCUUUGUGAAACAUCGUAGAAAUGUGUCAACGCCCUUACACAUGUUUCUAAAGCAAAUUAUCAAAUAAGGUACCAAGAUGAGAGUUUGUGAAGGGAUGUCCGAGACCUUUGUGGUGUGUGCCUCUCAGGUGUGUAGCAACACUAGCAGAAACAGAUUCAACUAAUGUGGUUGAGGCAUACACAGGCCAAGAAACCAUACAGAAUGAGGCUACGGUGUUUUAUGAUAUUGUGUGGCGUUAGCUGGACUUAUUGCAGAGCUGGAGUUCAUCGUUACCAAGGGAAUUGAAUGGAGCGGCACCCAAGAUUGUCAAGUCUUGCUUUUCUAAUCUACUUUCAUGUAAUAGAGUCGAUGAAUCACCUGGUAUAUAAGGAUACAGUGAUGAUCUUUUCUAAGAAAAAGACUGGGCGUCCUUGGUGGAUGAGAGACAAUGAAAGCUGGUGUGCUUUUUAACAUUUAUUAAGAGGAGCUUACAUUAUCUUUAGAAACUUCAUGUGUGGUAACUUGUUACAAGGUAGUAAGGUUUCAACUUUUGUAAGCCACACAGUACUAUAAACCAUGUGAAAAUCUGAAUUAAUAGCUAUGCCGAUACUUUUGGUAAGGCGAGUAAAGCCGCACCAACUAGUUACAUUUGUAUAUGUUUCUUCUUUAUAAAUACUAAGAUGUCAGUGGUGACAUGACCCUGUAGCCAGGCAAACAAAUAUAGUUUGGUUCUUUAUUUGCUCAUCCUACUCCAUAUAUUUAAGUAAAGAAAACUCUGCCACAAUUGCUAUUCUGAAGUGAUUAUGCUUUAGGAAUGAGCGGCAUUGGGAAAAACAAUUCAACUGGCGAGCCAAUACUCAGUGCACAAACUGAAACAAUAGUUACCUGGAACAGUUUUGGCACAAUGAGUAUACUCGCACAUAGUAGUUCAUCAGGAUAGCAUUGUCCUAUUUACAUAUGCUAAAGAUUCGAGUGCUGGCAUCAGUGGCGGAGCCAGUUCCCAGCGACCCGAGCCAGCUGGUUGGGCUCACCGCUGCCGCUGGUUUGAGCUAAGUCUCUGGCAGCAACCACAUCCUACGCGUUGAACCAUAGUCAAGCCAAGAUCACGCACAUGCCGACCAUGGUUCUCAAAGUCAUGGAGCGAACUGAUGAAUGAGGUGCUCAGAACAAGCGCCUGCACAUGCAUAUUUUUAGCCCUACCAAGCUGCUGUGUAGCAGGGGCUGCUCAGUGUAGCUUAGACCAGUCAGCGAACCACACACGGAAACAAUAGAAAUGUCGUCAAAUGUAUCCGUGGAGAAACGAUAAUGCUUUGGUUGGCAGUAAUGGCGUGCUCGGGGGCAGGGGCGGCGCAACGACGGGCGCGGGCGACGGUGACGGUGUCGACGGGCGCGGGCGACGGUGACGGCGACAGCGACGGCGAUGAGGAGCAGGGGUGAUGUGACGACGCGCGCGGGCGACAGCGUGGUUGGGGGCAGGGGCGGCAUGACGACGGGUGCGGGCGAUGGCGUGGUUGGGGGCAGUGGCGACGCGACGAAGGGCGCGGGCGACGGCGACGGCAACGACGGGUGCGGGCGACGGCGACGAGGAGCAGGGCGUCGGGGCAGAGGGCGGCAUCGGCUGCGGGAAGAAUGAGAAACUACCGAAAAAUUUGCAAAGUGUUGGCUUAUAUAGCCAGAGCAUUGAUCCCGGUUCAUGGCACCAACCGGGACCAAUGCCCCCAUUUAGUCCCGGUUGGUGCCACCAACCGGGACCAAAGGUCUUUUUUCAGCAGCCCAAAGGGCGGGAAGCAGAGGCCUUUGGUCCCGGUUGGUGGCACCAACAGGGACUAAAGGGCGGCAUUGGUCCCGGUUAGUGCCACUAACCGGUACCAAUGCACCCCUUUAGUCCCGGUUGGUGCCACCAAUCGGGACCAAAGGCCUUGUGCUGCCCGCAUCAAAAGUUUAGUCCCACCUCGCUAGUUGAGAGAGCUCGAGAGUGGUUUAUAAGCGCUGCUGCGCCCACCCUCUCGAACUCCUCUCAACUGCAGGCUUUCGGGCCUAACCUGUCAUUGUGUGCAUGUUGGCCUUCUGGGCCUGCUGUGGGCCUGAAUCCUGGCCCAUGAUUGGGUUUCUAAUCGUAUUCAAGCCGUGGUGGCCCACUAGGUGGUGCUUUUUUUGCUUUAUUCAUUUUAUUUUGUUUCUACUUACUGUUGCUAUUUUUAUUUAUUUUAGUUUAUUAAAGUUUAUUUUGUUUCUACUUAUUUAUUAAAGUUUAUUUUGUUUCUACUUAUUUAUUUUACUUUAUUUCUACUUAUUUAUUUUCUUUUCUUUUUUUGCUUUUUUAUUUAUUUUAUGAAAAUUCUUUUUGCUUUUAAUGUUUUGAACAGAAAAUACUUUGAUAAUUUUAGUUGCAUAAAUUUUAUAUAAUUUUAGUUGCAUAAAUUUUAUAUAAUUUUAGUUUCAAUAAUACUAGAAGUUUAUAAAAGAUUUUUGGUUGAUUCCUUUAGCUAUUAGAGUUUCAUUAAAGUUUUCUAGUUCAUUGUUUUUUCUAUUAGAGUUUCAUUAAAGUUUUCUAGUUCAUUCUUUUAGUUUACUAUUUUUGCAAUUAGAGUUCCAUGAAAGUUUUCUAGUUCAUUCUUUUUUAUAUUAGUUCAUUCUUUGAGCUAAAUGACCCUGAAAUUGAAAAGCAUUUCAAAUGAACUCUGAAAAGGUUGAAAGUUGGCAUGGCAUCAUCAUUUCACCCACAUAGCAUGUGCUAAAAAGUUGAGAGGGUUACGGCAAAAACUAGAUGCACUUCAUGUAUAAAACAGACUAUUUGUUUCGAGGUAUCAGGGUUUCGGACGAAAACUCGUGUGUUACAACAGACAUUUCAUUUCUUCACAUGUAACUGCAAUGAUAUUCUAGAUCAAAGGCAUGAUCAUAAUAGUCGUGGAGAGAAAGUAUUCACUUUUUCUUUGCUUCUGUCCUUUGCUUAUUGCGCCGUAACCGUGGAUAAUAUUCAUCAUUUAACAGGGUGCUUGGGCCAGCCUUGACUUUGAAGGGAGGAAUUUCAUGAAACUUUGCAUAAUCUUCGGACAUGUCUGUCUUGCCCUCCACUCCCGCGAUCUCUCUUUUUCGUGAAAAAACUAUGUGGCGCUUUGGCUCAUCGUAUGAUGUGUUCGCUUCCUUAUCUUUUCUUUUUCUCGAUUUGGUAGACAUGUCCUUCACAUAGAAAACCUGCGCCACAUCAUUGGCUAGGACGAACGGUUCGUUUGUGUACCCAAGAUUGUUCAGAUCCACUGUUGUCAUUACGUACUGUGGGUCUACUUGUACCCCGCCUCCUGACAGAUUGAUCCAUUUGCACUUAAACAAAGGGACCUUAAAAUCAUGUCCAUAGUCAAGUUCCCAUAUGUCCACUAUGCAACCAUAAUAUGUGUCAUUUCCCCUCUUGGUUACUGCAUCAAAGUGGACACCGCUGUUUUGGUUGGUGCUCUUUUGAUCUUGGACGAUCGUGUAAAAUGUAUUACCAUGUAUCUCGUAUCCUUUGUAAAUCAAUAGAGUCAAAGAUGGUCCCCUGGACAACGAGUACAGCUCAUCACAAACAGUGUUGUCACCUCUGAGACUUGUUUCCAACCAACUGCCGAAAGUCCUGAUGUGUUCACAUGUAAUCCGGUCAUCACACUGCUCUGGGUGUUUGGAGCGCAGACUGUUCUUGUGUUCAUCGACAUACGGGGUCACCAAAGUAGAGUUCUGUAGAACUGUGUACCGUGCUUGAGACCAAGAAUACCCGUCCCUGCAUAUUAUUGAGUCCCCUCCAAGCGUGCCUUUUCCAGUCAGUCUCCCCUCAUACCGCGAUUUAGGGAGACCAAUCUUAUUAAGGCCAGGAAUGAAGUCAACACAAAAUCCAAUGACAUCCUCUGUUUGAUGGCCCAUGGAGACGCUUCCUUCUGGCCUAGAAUGGUUAUAGACAUAUUUCUUUAGGACUCCCAUGAACCGCUCAAAAGGGAACAUAUUGUAUAGAAAUACGGGGCCCAGAAUGACAAUCACGUCGACUAGAUGAACUAGGACAUGCGUCAUGAUAUUGAAGAAGGAUGUGUUGGGGAACGUAGCAGAAAUUCAAAAUUUUCUACACAUCACCAAGAUCUAUCUAUGGAGAGACUAGCAACGAGAGAGUGGAGAGUGCAUCUACAUACCCUUGUAGAUCGUUAAGCGGAAGCGUUCAAGAGAACGGGGUUGAAGGAGUCAUACUCGUCGUGAUGCAAAUCACCGGAGAUCCUAGUGCCGAAUGGACGGCACCUCCACGUUCAACACACGUGCAGCCCGGUGACGUCUCCCUUGCCUUGAUCCAGCAAGGAGAGAGGGAGAGGUUGGGGAAGACUCCAUCCAGCAGCAGCACAACGGCGUGGUGGUGAUGGAGGAGCGUGGUACUCCAGCAGGACUUCGCCAAGCACCACAAGAGACGAGGAGGGAGAGGGGCAGGGCUGCGCCAAGAGGGAGAGGUUCUCAUGUGUAUGGCAGCCCCAAACCCUCCACUAUAUAUAGGGGCAAGGGGGAGGGGGAGGCGCCCUAGGGUUUCCCCUAGGGGGGCGGCGGCCAGGGCAGAUGGGAUCUCCACUUUGGGUGACUUGGCCCCCAAGCCAGGAGGUGGGAACCCUAGAUGGGGCACCCCAAACCCCCUGGUCACGUGGGAAUAGGUGAGGGGGGCGCACAACCCCUUAGUGGGCUGGUUUGCCCCCUUCCCUUGGCCCAUGAAGCCCCCCCAACACUUGCCGGGGCUCCCGAAACACCUUUCGGUCAUGCUGGUCAUCACCCGGUACCUCCAAAACACUUCCGGACUCCAAAACCCUUCGUCCAAUAUAUCAAUCUUCACCUCUGAACCAUUCGGGGACUCCUCAUGACGUCCGGGAUCUCAUCCGGGACUCCGAACAACAUUCGGUAACCACGUAUAUCUAUUCCCUAUAACCCUAGCGUCAUCGAGCCUUAAGUGUCUAGACCCUACGGGUUCGGGAACCAUGCAGACAUGACCGAGACGACUCUCUGGUCAAUAACCAACAGCGGGAUAUGGAUACCCAUGUUGGCUCCCACAUGUUCCACGAUGAUCUCAUCGGAUGAACCACGAUGUCGAGGAUUCAAUCAAUCCCGUAUACAAUUCCCUUUGUCUAGCGGUAUUGUACUUGCGCGAGAUUCCAUCGUCGGUAUCCCGAUACCUUGUUCAAUCUCGUUACCGGCAAGUCUCUUUACUCGUUCUGUAACACAUCAUCCCGUGAUCAACCCCUUGGUCACAUUGUGCACAUUAUGAUGAUGUCCUACCGAGUGGGCCCAGCGAUACCACUCCGUCACACGGAGUGACAAAUCCCAGUCUCGAUUCGUGCCAACCCAACAGAUACUUUCGGAGAUACCCGUAGUGCACCUUUAUAGCCACCCAGUUAUGUUGUGAUGUUUGGUACACCCAAAGCAUUCCUACGGUAUCCGGGAGUUGCACAAUCUCAUGGUCUAAGGAAAUGAUACUUGACAUUCGAAAACUUUAGCAUAUGAACUACACGAUCUAUGUGCUAGGCUUAGGAUUGGGUCUUGUCCAGCACAUCAUUCUCCUAAUGAUGUGAUCCCGUUAUCAACGACAUCCAAUGUCCAUGGUCAGGAAACCGUAACCAUCUAUUGAUCAACAAGCUAGUCAACUAGAGGCUUACUAGGGACAUGGUGUUGUCUAUUUACCCUCACAUGUAUCUGACUUUCCUAUCAAUACAAUUAUAGCAUGGAUAAUAAACGAUUAUCAUGAACAAGGAAAUAUAAUAAUAACUAAUUUAUUAUUGCCUCUAGGGCAUAUUUCCAACAGUCUCCUACUUGCACUAGAGUCAAUAAUCUAGUUCACAUCGCCAUGUGAUUAACAAUCACAGGUCACAUCGCCAUGUGACCAACAUCCAAAGAGUUUACUAGUGUCACUAAACUAGUUCACAUCAUCAUGUGAUUAAGACUCAAUGAGUUCUGGGUUUGAUCAUGUUUUGCUUGUGAGAGAGGUUUUAGUCGACGGGUCUGUAACAUUCAGAUCCGUAUGUACUUUGCAAAUCUCUAGGUCAUUUUGUAAAUGCUGCUUCCACGCUCCACUUGGAGCUAUUCCAAAUGGUUGCCCCACUAUACAUAUCCGGUUUGCUACUCAAAGUCAUUCGGAUAGGUGUUAAAGCUUGCAUCGACGUAACCCUUUACGCCAAACUCUUUAUCACCUCCAUAAUCGAGAAACAUGUCCUUAUUUACUCCAAGGACAAUUUUGACCGCUGUCCAAUGAUCCAUUCCUGGAUCAUUCUUGUACCCCUUGACUGACUCAUGGAAAGGCACACUUCCGGUGCGGUACACAGCAUAGCAUACUAUAGAGCCUACGUCUAAAGCAUAGGGGACGACCUUCGUCCUUUCUCUCUCUUCUGCCGUGGUCGAGCUUUAAGUCUUAACUUCAUACCUUACAACUCAGGAAAGAACUCCUUCUUUGACUGAUCCAUCUUGAACACCUUCAAGAUCAUGUCAAGGUAUGUGCUCAUUUGAAAGUACCAUUUAGCGGUUUUUUGAUCUAUCCUCAUAUAUCUUGAUGCUCAAUGUUCAAGCAGCUUAAUCCAGGUUUUCUAUUGAAAAACACCUUUCAAACAACCCUAUAUGCUUUCCAGAAAUUCUACAUCAUUUCCAAUCAACAAUAUGUCAACAACAUAUACUCAUCAGAAAUUCUAUAGUGCUCCCACUCACUUCUUUGGAAAUACAAGUUUCUCAUAAACUUUGUAUAAACCCAAAAUCUUUGAUCAUCUCAUCAAAGCGUAUAUUCCAACUCUGAGAUGCUUACUCCAGUCCUUAGAAGGAUUGCUGGAGCUUUGCAUACUUGUUAGCACCUUUCAGGAUUGACAAAACCUUCUGGUUGUAUCACAUACAACCUUUCCUCAAGAAUAACGUCGAGGAAACAAUGUUUUGACAUCCUAUCUGCAAGAUUUCAUAAAUCAUGCAGUAAUUGCUAAUAUGAUUCCAACAGACUUUUAGCAUCGCUACGAAUGAGAAAGUCUCAUCGUAGUCAACUCCUUGAACUUGUCAGAAAACAUCUUAAUGACAAGUCGAGCGUUCUUAAUGGUGACACUUACCAUCAUUGUCCGUCUUCCUUUUAAAAUCCAUCUAUACUCAACAGCCUUGCGACCAUCAAGCAGUUAUUCCAAAGUCUACACUUUGUUUUCAUACAUGGAUCCUCUCUCGGAUUUUAUGGCCUCGAGCCAUUUGUCGGAAUCCGGGCCCACCAUUGCUUCUCCAUAGCUCGUAGGUUCAUUGUUGUCUAGCAACAUGAGCUCUAAGACAGGAUUGCGUACUACUCUGAAAUAGUACGCAUCCUUGUCGACCUACGAGGUUCGGUAGUGACUUGAUCCGAAGCAUCAUGAUCACUAUCAUCAGCUUCCACUUCAAUUGGUGUAGGUGCCACAUGAACAACUCCAUGUGCCCUGCUACACACUGGUUGAAGUGAUGGUUCAUUAACCUCAUCAAGUCUCCACCAUCCUCCCACUCAAUUCUUUUGAGACAAACUUUUCCUCGAGAAAGUACCCGAUUCAAGAAACAAUCCCUAUUGCUUUAGGAUCUGAAUUAGGAGGUAUACCCAACUGUUUUGGGUGUCCUAUCAAGAUGCAUUUUAUCCGCUUUGGGUUCGAGCUUAUCAACCUGAAACUUUUUCACAUAAGCGUCGCAGCCCCAAACUUUUAAGAAACGACAGCUUAGGUUUCUCUAAACCAUAGUUCAUAUUGUGUCAUCUCAAUGGAAUUACGUGGUGCCCUAUUUAAAGUGAAUGCGGUUGUCUCUAAUGCCUAACCCAUGAACAAUAGUGGUAAUUCGUUAAGAGACAUCAUGGUAUGCACCAUAUCCAAUAGGGUGCAACUAUGAUGUUCGGACACACCAUCACUCUAUGGUGUUCCAGGCGGUAUUAAUUGUGAAACAAUUUCCACAAUGUCUUAAUUGUGUGCCAAAGCUCAUAACUCAGAUACUCAUCUCUAUGAUCAUAGACAUUUUAUCCUCUUGUCACGAUGACCUUCAACUUCACUCUGAAAUUACUUGAACCAUUCAAUAAUUUAUACUUGUGUUUCAUCAAGUAAAUAUAUAGCAUCUACUCAAAUCAUCUGUGAAGUAAGAACAUAAUGAUAUCCACUGCGUGCCUCAGCACUCAUUGGACAUCACACAUCAAAAUGUAUUACUUCCAACAAGUUGCUCUCUUGUUCCAUCUUACUGAAAAUGAGGCUUUUCAGUCAUCUUGCCCAUGUGGUAUGAUUUGCAUGUCUCAAGUGAUUUAGAAUCAAGUGAGUCCAAACGAUCCAUCUGCAUGGAGUUUCUUCAUGCGUACAUACCAAUAGACAUGGUUCGCAUGUCUCAAACUUUUCAAAAAACAAGUGAGUCCAAAGACCCAUCAACAUGGAGCUUCUUCAUGCGUUUUAUACCACUAUGACUUACAUGGCAGUGCCACAAGUAGGUGGUACUAUCAUUACUAUCUUAUAUCUUUUGGCAUGAACAUGUGUAUCAUUACGAUCGAGAUUCAAUAAACCAUUCAUUUUAGGUGCAAGAACAUUGAAGGUAUUAUUCAAAUAAACAGAGUAACCAUUAUUCUCCUUAAAUGAAUAACCGUAUUGCAAUAGACAUAAUCCAAUCAUGUCUAUGCUACACGCAAACACCAAAUAACAAUUAUUUAGGUUUAACACCAAUCUCGAUGGUAGAGGGAGCGUGCGAUGCUUGAUCACAUCAACCUUGGAAACACUUCCAACACAUAUCGUCAGCUCACCUUUAGCUAGUCCCCGUUUAUUCCAUAGCUUUUAUUUCGAGUUACUAACACUAAGCAACCGAAUCGGUAUCUAAUACCCUGGUGCUACUAGGAGUACUAGUAAAGUACACA
rnacentral:lncRNA from 1 species